rnacentral:lncRNA from 1 species
AACACCAAUUCUUGCUAUUAUGGAAAAUAUGUCAAAAAUGUUAAUGAAGUUAAUAGGGUUACUUUUAAUCAUUGCAGGUGCUAUGGUUGUUAAUGCAGAUAUACCACCAUGUUGUGAUUUUGGUGGUUCAAUGUGCGAACCAAUUGCAUGUACGUAGUAAUAUUGCUAUUAAUAUUAACUCUUAGUGGUUUUUUUUUUAAGAAAGUGGAGUUUUCUUUUCAUUUAUAUGGCACACAAGCAGCUUCCUCUUAACUUUUGGGAGUUUUCUUUUAAUUAAAAUAAAAAGUAAUUAUACUAAAUAUUGUUAUUUGGCUUAAUAAUCUAGCAUAUAUAUAUAUAUAUAUAUAUUAUAUUUGAUCAUUACACAUGAUUCCAAACAAGUUAUCAUAAAUGUAGGUGGUAAUAAAAUGGAUUUGAGAACACUGUCAUUCUUACUCAAUAUUUUCAUGCAAUGAAACAUUUCUUUAACCAUCAUUUAUGUGUCAUAUAUUCAUCAAGCUGUAUAUAAUUAGGAGUCAACAAAAUUCUAAAAAGAAUAUUAUGAAGCUUUUGUAUAAUUAGGGAAAAGUGAAAGAAAAAUAGUAAUAAAGAAGACAUCAUUGUACAAUAUAAGUGCAAGUUGAAGCUAAACUAAAACUAAAAUGGUACAAAGUUAUUUGAUUCACACAUUAUAAUAAUCCAAAGCGAUUUUUAAUAAUCCUCCGCUUCGUAAGAGAAUGAGACUCUACUAAUUUAGAUUUUAAUCGAAAAUUAAAUAAAAUUCUUUUAAAAAUUGUUACAAUUAUAUAAUUAAAUUUCGUUGAUUUCUAAAGUGUGAAAUUAUUUUGACAUUGUGAUACAUCUAUAUCAAACCGUAUUUUUGGCAAUAUUAGGAGACUUUAGCUUUUGUCAUGCUGAGUAAGGCAUUUUAAAGUAAUGUAUAGACACAUUCAACUUACCAUUCCCUUCUCCAUCUAUAAGUAAUGCAUUUCAAAGUAAAAUUGCGCACAUGUGAUAUUUAACUUAUAUAUAGUGGCUUUUGCUUUUAACAAAGUGCUUAUUUCUUUUAAUUUUUAUCAUGUUUAUCCUACUCGCAAAGUUGGUUCACAGUUCUUCUUACUUAGGAAUUCCUCUGCCAAAAACAUCCAAUUGUCAAUUACUUUCCUAUUACCAAGAUGGUACUAUUCUAUAACAAAUGACAUUAUUUUCACUUAAUUACAAUUCUCAAGUUGGUGUCAUUUGAAAUUUAAUUUCAUGUAUUUUUUCGUCUAUACCACUUCUAUUUUUAAUAAAAAGUUUGGACUAUGAUUAUUUCAACUAAAAUUUAAAUUAUUUUAGAUAAUUUGUCAUUAAAUGAAGUUGAUUCGUUAUUUUAGUCCAAUCACUUUAUUUAAGUUGACGUACUAAAUACUACAAUUAAUUAAACCUAUUCCACUAAAUAUUAUUUAAUUAUUAAUAUUUUAUUUUAUUAUAGUAGAAUUUUUAUAGAAUAGUGACUCUGAAAUGUGACCAUAGGUGGUCUUAGAUUGCUAUUGCUUUGUUUUGUGCCUCAAUCUAUAAUUAUACCCACUAUGUUAUGGCAUGAUUAAUAGCUAUGUACUUCUAUUAGUAUCAAGUAGUUCUUUUACGGCUUAUAAAUAAAAAAGUAGUUCUUUUACACUCUUUGCUAUUAAGGUUAAUAGAGAAUCUUAUCUCUUUCCAACUUACUCAAUGGUUUCUGAAGUGGUUAUUAUUCUUAUUAAUUAUUAAUUCUAGCUCUUUAUUUUGCAGUGAAUUUGCUUUAACAUUGUCAUCAUCGAUCCAUGUAUGAAAUUGUUAUUUGGUUAUGUAAGUUAAAAAAGUUUUAAAAACCAAACUAUAUAUCUAUAUAUAUAAAUUAACAAAUAAAAUGGUUAUUGAUCAAAUCACAAGCUGUGUCAUGAAAUAGAUAUGUAUCUUAUUUAGUGUCAUAAAGACGUGGUUGAAUUGCUUCAUUUUUCAACAAUGGUCAUAACAAACUUUUUGCAUGCGAUGCAUUGUUAGUGGUAUACACUCUGUGUGCUAACAAUAAUUUAGAUUCCAAGGGAAGCUAGCAAUCACUCAUUUGAAGAUAUUGUGACCAAUCGAUUUUGAUUAAACGGUUUAAAAAGAUGCACAAUUUUAUAAUUUAAAAUAUUGAAUUUGAAUUUACAUUUGAACCGUCCGAUUUAAGAUCAAACGACUACGAUAUCUCAAAUGUUUGUGAAUGCGACAAUUAUUGAAUGUAGUGGAGCUGUGAUCCUUUGCUACCAAUGCUUUUAGUAAUAUGUUUAAUAAAUGAAUAAAAUCAUUUCUAAUAUAUUUAAUAUAUAAAAAAUAUUUAAAAUUGUUUGUAAAUAUAUAUGAUUAUGAACCCUGAAAUACAGAAAAAUAGUAUUAUUUAAAUAUUAAAAUAUAUUUAUAAAUCAAUAGUAAUGAUAUCGAAUUAAAUGAUGAUGAGACUUAAUUUUUAUAUAUUCAAUUCAGUAGUGUCAUACAUAAAAAUGUUACUUCAUAAAAAUUGAGAGAAUCGAUAAAUUUCAAAAAUUAUAAAAUAAAACAACCAAAAACCUAAUUUAAAAAAUGAAAGAAUUAAAAAUCAAAUUUAAACAAAAAUGAUAGAUUUAAAAUGUAUUUAAGUCUUUUUUUAACAAAAGAGUACAUUAACAAAAAAAUUGGUCUCAUAUUUAAUCUAAAACGUUGCAGUUCUAUAUAAGUUUUUGACGUUAUUUACUAUUAUAUUUACUAUUAUAUUUAUAUAUCAAAAUUGAAAUUGCACAUAUUAUGUGUUUGAUGAAAUGUCACAACAGAAAUAGAUUACUCCAAAAAACAAAGUGUGUCUUUCAAUUAGGUGAUCAAAUGUGACAUUACAAAGAUCACUUGGAGUGAAAGCGCGCUUACAACAAUAGUCAAUUUGAUUGUAACUUGAUAGAUAAAAAGACAGUAGAUUCUCUCUUUUCUUUGUAAUUGAUUGUGAGCAGAAGACUUUUCUAGUUAGUUAAUUCGGUUAUAAUAUAUUGCUAGUUUAAUAGUACAAUUUGAGUCUCUAGUCACUCUUUGUAAUCCAAUGACGAUGUUAUGUUAAAAUUUAAUUUUAGAUCCCCUUAUAUUAAGUGGGUGGAGGUUAUUCCAAACCCUUUGUUUUAAUUUGAUUAUAAUCCUUUUGAAAUUUUCUUUUAAAUGAAUUUAUGUUUAACGUAAAAAAAAAUUUGCACUUCUCACCUAAUCUAAAUCAUUAUAAAAUUUAUUUUAAAACAUUAAAUAAAUUUUUUUUAUGAAAAAAUAAUUUAUAUUUUUAUUAUAUAAUAUUUAAUAAUGGCAUAAUUUAAUUAUACCUUAUUUACGAACAUAUAAAAGUUUAUAAGAAAUUUGAUCUAUGGGUUAAAUUAACAAAAGUGGUGCUGGAAAAUGGGUGAACUUUUAUUACAUUAUUACUAAGGAUCCUAUUGAUACACAAUGUCUACUAUGAUUAUAAUGAAAAUAUACAUUGUAAUAUUAAUAUGGAAAAUAGUAAAUUAAUAGCAAAUGCCUAAUAAUUAAUUAGUUUGAAGUCUAAAAGCCAGGAUCGUAUGGAAUGCCACUGAAAGGCAACCAAGUUAUGGCAUUAUAGUUGAAAAUGACAUGGUUGAAAAUUCAUUGAUGUCAGAAACCAUAGUGCAUAGACCAAAAGGAAUCUCUCUGUAUAAUUGGUUACUAAUUUCUGCAUAAAAUCAAAAUCAAAUUAAACUCAACUUAUAUAUGCAUUAUGCAUUAGUCACCAACAUUGUGGCAUAAUUACUCCAUUUUAAUUCCAUUUUUGUUUCAAGUUUUUAAUUGUUCGUCGCGAUUUCUGAGACUGAGAGUUAAUCACACACUACAAAAAAAUUGACCUAUCGUGACACACAAAAUGUUUCACUAAAAGUUAAAAACUGUAGGUAAAAGUCAAUAAUACUUUGAGUGACACUCAAAUCUAGUGUCAACUUUAAGGGGCGUCACUACAUGGUCUGAGAAUUGUCUCUAGAUGUUUUUAAUUUCUACCUACAAUAAUGACUGUCACUAAAACGUAGAUAAAUAUAAAUAAAGAAUUAGUCUAUUCCUACGGUAUUAUCUGUCACUAACACUUAGAAAAAUAUAAAUAAAAUAUUAAUCUAUUCCUACGGUAUGUCUGUCACUAAAACGUAUUAUUAUUUAUUAAAUUAUAUUUUUUUUAUCUCCCUGCUAAUUGUAAUUCUAAACUAUUAUUACCAGUAAAUCAAAUUUAAAUUUUUAAUUUAUUUUUAAUUUAUUUUUAUUAACUAAUGUCAUUGAAACAUACAAUAAAAUAUAAUUUAACUCUAAAAGAUUCAAUAAAGUUUCAAAGGAAACUAAAAUGAGUUCCUUAUCAAAGGAAACCAAAUGUAAAUUAUAAGAAAUAGGUACAAGAUUAAGGUAUUCAAAGAAAUUAAAAAUAUAAUUAUAUUUUGCAUAAGAAAAAAUAUCCAUAGCCACUCCAACAAGAACUAAAAUUAUAUUUAAUAAAGAUGAAUGAAAUAUAUUGUUUGCUUUUGAUAACAAGUGCAGAGUCUUGAACAAGUGCAGAUACAUCUUUUAGCAAAUGCCAAAUCUGCUUUAACGGUCUUUAGCUCACGAAGAAGUAAUUUUGCUUUUGCAGCUGUUGCCAUUGCCACCUGUAACCAAAGUAAAAGGAAAUGUUGCUUGUUGGGUUACAUGAGAAACUUAAACAGUUAACUCAAAUAAACAAUCAGCAUAAACUCAAUUUUCUAUUCACUAUUACGUCAAAAGCAACGGUUUAAACUAAGAGUCCUGCAUCAAAAUCAAGAAGAGUUUAAUAUCUGUACAUUGAUAUCUUAUACAAGUUUUACAUAUACAUCUAUUUAUACUAUGGUAAGAUAAUAUAAAAUAUGAUUAGAAGUCUAUUAUAUAAGCUAUAGGUUUCUGCAUUGAGUGAAGACUAUUGACAAUUCAAAAAUUAUUAUUAGAUGUUCUAUCGUCUAUGCCUUCACUACAAGAACUAGCGAGGCCUCAACCGUUACACAUGAUUACAAAGUUGGCACCUUACGUCGCGUGAUGCCUUGAGUUGUGUUUAGUGGCGAGAAUGAGACUUUGUCAGAUCGGAUUGCGGCCAUGGAUUCCUCACAUCUGAAGCUUGGUUUAUGUCCUCCGGUCCAUUUCCUUUUUCGCCUUAUUUGAGAUCUCAGAUCUGCUGUCUUACUCUCCACAAUUGUUUUGCUGUCCUGAAGAAAUGAAAGAAGUAACAUGAAUUAAAGAAAGCAAAGAAAUGAAACACAAACAUACAUGGACACCGAACAUGACACACAAACAAACAGUAUAUGUGGUUCAUAGAGACAGAGUUACCUCAAAAGCCUUCUCAAAUGUGUCACCUAAGUGAUUGAGAGAAGAUUUGAUUGCAUCCAAUCCCUUUCUAAUUGUAGGAUUGUCCAUUUUUUUAUUAGAGUCAGGAGAUUGAUACAAUGGCUGCAAUAAGCAUGCCAAACCAAAAACACACCAAUUAGUUGAACAUAUAUUUAUGCAACAUUAUAUUAUACCACGAUUCAUAUCAUAUCACAUCCUUGAAUUGCAUAGAACAUAAUAAUAAAAUCACCUGAGUUGAAAACGGACUAGUAAAGGUAUUAAAUGAGUGUGAUUUGAGUGUUUGUGGCAAUGGCAUGGUGUCAUGUUGUGGAGGAGGAGCUGAAUUUUUAUCAUCCAGAAUUGAUUUGGCUUUAUGAGCCAAUACACCCCAAAAACCAGACUUGGUGUUGUCAUUUCCAUAAGCAUCAAAACUCUGCAUCAAUGCAUUCAUUCAUUCAUUAUAUUCAAUCUACAAUUUAUAUUUCAUUUGUUCAAAUCUCUAUGUAUGUAGUACACCUCUGUUUCACUGAGAAAAAUGUCAGAAAAAUAAAAUAAAUGUUUGAAUAAUGAAUAAGAAGCAAAUCUUUUGGAUGAUAUAAUCUAGACUAGUACAACAUGACAAUCUUCUAUGUAUGUAGUACUGUAAGAUGAAUGAAUGAUUUUUGUUGCCACGUGUUUUGUUACACAUUCAGAACAAAACGAAUGGCAACAUUUCUGGUUCUUGAACAUUUCAUCAACCACCUUCGCUUCCACACAAAUUUCGCUUUGGCUGAAGGAGAACAGUGAGAACGGCGAGAAGGAGAAGAGAAUGAUUGGGGCUCAGAUUGGGGCUAAAAUUAGGGCUCAGAUUGGGUGAAAGAGGAACAAUUUUGAGUUUUAGGUGUUUUGAUGAGAAAGGGUUUAGUUGGUACUUGGUAUUUGGCUCUAUUAAUUUUUAUUUUGGCUCUAUUAAUUUUUAUUUUGGCUCCAUUAAAAUUUGUUUUUGCCUCCAUUGAAAAAAUUUGGAUUUUAUCUCAAUUUAUUUUUUUUUACCUCCAUUGAAAAAAUUAAGAUUUUGGCUCUAUUGAAAUUGGGUGCAUUAAAAAAAUUAGGAUUUUGCCUCCAUUAAAUUUUUUUUUGACUUAAAUUGUGAAAGUUUUGUACAAUUUUAUUUUCACAAACAAUUAAUAUUUUGGCUCCUUUAAAAAAUAUAUAUUUUUCAAUUUGAUGCCUAUAACCACAGAUUUAAGUGUGUAACUAUAAUCCUUAGUGACAAAUUUAUGUCACUGAAGGUAUAAGACACCUAUACCAACAAAAAUUAAUUUAUCUGUGGGGAUAGAUUGUCUAUGUCACUGAAGGUAUAAGACACCUAUACCAACAAAAAUUAAUUUAUCUGUGGGGAUAGAUUGUCUAUGCCUACAGUUUUUAAUUUUGUCAUUAUAAGCUUCUGUAGGUAUAUGUCUGUUUUCUUGUAGUGUAAAGACGUGGUUGAAGCUUCAUUUCUCAACAAUGGUCAUAACAAACUUUUUUGCAUGCGAUGCAUUGUUAGUGGUACACACUCGCUGAGUGCUAGCAAGAAUUUAGAUUCCAAGGGAAGCUUGCAAUCACUCAUUUGAAGAUAUUGUGAUUAAUCGAUUUUGAUUAAACGGUUUAAAAAAAUGCACAAUUUUAUAAUUUAAAAUAUUGAAUUUGAAUUAACAUUUGAACCAUCCUAUUUAAGAUCAAACGUCUACGAUAUCUCAAAUGUGUGUGAAUGCGACAAUUAUUGAAUGUAGUGGAGCUGUGAUCCUUUGCUACCAAUGCUUUUAGUAAUAUGUUUAAUAAAUAAAUAAAAUUAUUUCUAAUAUAUUUAAUAUAUAAAAAAUAUUUAAAAUUGUUUGAAAAUAUGAUUAUGAACCCUGAAAUACAGAAAAAUAGUAUUAUUUAAAUAUUAAAACAUAUUUAUAAGUCUUAUUUAAAUUUAAACAAAAAUGAUAGAUUUAAAAUGUAUUUAAGUCUUUUUUUAACAAAAGAGUACAUUAACUUGCUGACAACUUUUCCCCAUUAUUUUUUAAUAAAAACCAAAAGUAAUUAUCAUACUAAAAUAAAUGAAAGGUUUAAUUUACUUAAAUGAUUUUUGGAUAAAUUUUACGUACCUCUAAUUAAAUUUUGUAUUACUAUGUACAGUGUCAUUCCCUACAAAUAGAUGGUUAAAAGUUAAGAAAAUAAAUGAUUUAAUUACAAUCUUAUAAUUUUUUUUAUAAAAAAAAUUGGUCUUAUAUUUAAUCUAAAACAUUGCAAUUCUUUAUAAGUUUUUGACGUUAUUUACUAUUAUAUUUAUAUAUCAUGGUUCAAAUUGCACAUAUUAUGUGUUUGAUGAAAUGUCUCAACAUAAAUAGAUUACUCCAAAAAACAAAGUGUGUCUUUCAAUGAGGUGAUCAAAUGUGACAUUACAAAGAUCACUUGGAGUGGAAACGCGCUUACAAUUUGAUGUGUAACUUGAUAGAUAAAAAGACAGUAAAUUAUCUCUUUUCUUUGUAAAUGAUUGUGAGUAGAAGACUUUUCUAGAUAGUUAAUUCGGUUAUAAUAUAUUGCUAGUGUAAUAGUACAAUUUGAGUAUCUAGUCACACUUUGUAAUUCAAUGAUGAUGUUAUGUUAAAAUUUAAUUUUAGAUCCCCUUAUAUUAAGUGGGUGGAGGUUAUUCCAAACCCUUUGUUUUAAUUUGAUUAUAAUCCUUUUGAAAUUUUCUUUUAAAUGAAUUUAUGUUGAACGUAAAAAAAAAAAAAACGCAGUUCUCACCUAAUCUAAAUCAUUAUAAAAUUUAUUUUAAAACGUUAAAUAAAUUUUUUUUAUGAAAAAAUAAUUUAUGUUUUUAUUAUAUAAUAUUUAAUAAUGGCAUAAUUUAAUUAUACCUUAUUUAAACAUAUAAAAGUUUAUAAGAAAUUUGAUCUACGGGUUAAACAUUCCAACCUAACUAAACAAAAGUGGUAAUGUAAAAUGGGUGAACUUUUAUUACAUUAUUACUAAGGAUCUAAUUGAUACACAAUGUCUACAAUGAUUAAAAUGAAAAUAUAAAUUGUAAUAUUAAUAUGGAAAUAGUAAAUUAAUAGCAAAUGCCUAAUAAUUAAUUAGUUUAAAAGUCAUAAUCGUAUGGAAUGGCAUUGAAAGGCAACCAAGUUGUGGCAUUAAGUCACAGUACAACGGUGAAUCUAACACCUUUUUGCCCAUUUAACCCUUAUCCUAGCAUUGGCACCCGAUCCAAUGUUUCCAAACUCAGCGAAGUACGAGUUUUUAGUGUUAGGUUCAGUAAAAUUCCAAAUCAUAUAUCCAUCUUGUUGAAUUAAAUCACCAAUAUAAUUAUUAAUGAAGACUACCCUAGAAAAUUCCUUCCAUGCCCUUGCAAGAUAAGUCUUCACCAUCAACCAAUCUGGUAAGAGAUCAUCGUCUGGCUUGAUAAAGCACUUUUGGAGGACUAUUCCAGUGUCCAUGUUCUUUUCGGACGUACCAUCAGCCACCACAACGUUUUGUGGUCCGUGAGAGGGCUUCCUCACCCAAAUCAUAGAAUUCUGGAUCAAGAUAGUACUUGACUGACUAAAGAUGAAAUCUAUGGUUCCGUAGAUCUCACAGUUGCAGUAGAAUUGACGACCAUUGUUUACAUACAAUGUGACUUGAUAGCCGCAAAAUAUACAAUUGAAGAAUGCUGAUCGAUCACCUUCAACAUUAAGUGCAACUGCUUGCUCACCUUCUGGGCCAACAGUGUUUUCAAAUGCAAUUCACUUGGCAAUGAAAUUAUGACCCAAGAAGGCUGCAAGCACAUUUUCAUCAAUAUCUUCACAUACAGUUAAUUAACAAGUUAGAGAUCACAUAUAUUUUUCAUUUACUUUGUUAAAUCAAUAUAAUCCAAAUUUUGCAUUAAAUGUUUCCAAGCAAUUUUUUGAUUUAUUUUCUCUCUCGUCUCAAUUAAUUUAAUUAACACGAUAACACUUUAAACCAAACAUAAUAAACAAACAUAAUGUGAUAUAUCUAAUAAACAUACUAGAUUAAUGUUAAAAAAUCUCUAUUAAUUUUUCUCUAUCUUCUCAAACAAUAUAACUCUUUGUUCUCUGUUAAUUUUUAGGAAAGUAGAGAGACAAUUUUUGAGAGAAUUAAAGGUUAACUUACAGAAUGUGGCGGUUUUAGAUGUUUCACGUCCUUCACGAGAGUUCUUGUGUCCAGUGAUAAUGGUGUUUGUAGGACUAUCACCAUACAUGGUGAUAAUGACACAUUUGACAUCCGAUUCAUUAGCUAAAGAUUUUUUAUUUAUUUUUUAUUUUUUUAUCUUAAUUUGGUUCUGAAAAAUAGUUUUUAAAUUUAUCUACAAAAUAAUAUUAUUUUUGUCUUUAUAUGUAAGACGUUAUUGUAAUUUUUUUAAAUCAUUUUUUGAAUGACUCUAUUCAAAUUAUAAAAGUAUUAAUUAUUUUUUUACAAAAAUACAUCCAAUUAUUAUUAGCUAUCAGAUAAUUCUUAUCAAACAAAACUUAAAUAAAAAGAUUAAAAAUAUCUAUAAAUUUAUUUACUCUCUAAUUGAACAAUAAUUUUUGAAAAAGAAUUAACAUUUGUCAAAAAGUUUAAUGGAAAAAUUUUCAUCCUUAAUUCUUGUACAUUGAUUAAAGUGAUAUUACAUCUAGUAAUAGAGAUAAAGAAUUAAAUAAGUUUUUAGUUAUUAUAAAAUUUUAUUUUAGUUAAUGUAAAAAAAUCACGUGUUUAGUCCACAUAAAAUUAUUCUACAAGUUAUUUUAGUUAUUGCUGAAAUGAAACAUUUCAAUUUUUAAAUUUUUGAAUGAUUUUUUACAUGUUUAGAACAUUAUUAAAAGUUCAUCCGUACAAACAUAAAACUUUUUAACUUGCAAUGAAUUAAUUAUGAAUUUUUUAAAUGUCAAACAUAGUCUUUAAAAUAUAGACUUAGAAAUCAACUAUUGAACUCAUUUUUUUUAAUGAACUUUUUAUAGUGUUGUAAACAUGUAUGCAAAACGAUCAUUAAAAAAAACACGUUGAUGCUCUCUAAAAUUGCUUGCAUAAUAAUUUUGUAUGACUAAAAUAUGUGAUUUUGUUAUCUUUUUUUACAAAAACUAAAAACAAAAUUUCGAAAAACUUAUUUAACCCUAGUUAUAAAUAAAUAAACCUAAUUUACUCUAGUAAUCAUAUUAUUGAAGCUCUCUCAACAAUGACAAUAUUACUGCAUGUGAUGCUUGCUUCGUAACUAAUAAAAUGAUAUUAAGCAUAAAAGAAAUAUAAUUAAUUAGAAAUAAAAUUGUAUUGAUAGAAUGAAUAAAAUUGUUAAUUAUUGAGAUGUUAUUCAUAUAUAAAUCUCAAAAUGACUAUUACAACCAACGUAAUUAAUCUAACUAAUUUACGACUAACAUAAACUAAUUCUAAUUAUUAAUACAUACAUAUACAUACAAAUCACUCUGUUCAUCUAUAUAUAAUUAAUAAUGCUAUUAAUAUUAACUUAUAGUGAUUUUUCCUUUUAACAAAGUGGUGAUUUCUUUUGAUUUAUAUGGCACACAUGAAACUAGGCAGCUUCCUCAUAACUUUUGGGGUUUUCUUUUUUCUUUUUAUUAAAAUAAAAAGUAGCUAAUAUUGUUAUUUGGCCUACUGAAAGUAAAGGAGUGAAAAAAAUGGUAAAAAGAAUGUUACGAAGCUUUCAUAUAAUUAGGGAAAGGUGAAAGAAAAUUAGUAAUAAAGAAGAUAUCACUAUAUAGUAUAAGUGCAAUAGUGCAAACUGAAGCUAAAGUAAAACUAAAAAUAAUUUCUUUCACAAAGUUAAUUAACUACUUAAAUUCAAUAUUUCAUUGAUUUCUAAAUUGAUUAAUUAUUUAUCUGUCUGGAAAUUUAUUUUAUUACCAUCAUAAUGUAUCUUUAUAACACUGUUUUUUUAUUCAUUUGAAAAUGAAUGGCAAUAUUAGUAGACUUUAACUUUUCUCAUGCAAAGGCAUUUUAAAGUAAUGCAUAGACACAUUCAACUUAUCAUUCCCUUCUCCAUCUAUAAGUAAUGCAUUUCAAAGUAAAAGCAUUUUAAAAUAGCAUUCACUAUUUUUUAUGCUUAGUCUAAACUCCAACUACAACUUACAGUGCUUUAUUGAUAAUGCUACAAAUUAUGUACAGAUACGAUAUUUAACUUAUAGAUAGUGAUUUUUGUUUAUAACAAAGUACUUUUCUUUUAAUUUUUAUCAUGUUUAUCAUACUCAUAAAGUUGGUUCACCAUUAUUCCAAUUAUCGGUUACUUUUUUCCUCUUUAGCACUCCUGCUUCUAUUAAAAAAUCUGGAUCAUACAUUCAUGCAUUUCAAGGGAAGCAUCAAUUCACGCAUUUGAUUUUAAAAAAAAUAAAUAAAUAUUUUAAUAAUUUAAAAUACUGAAUUUGAAUUUGAACAAUAUCAUCUCGAUGAAACAAUUACGAUGUUUUAAAUGUGUGAAUGCGACAACUAUUGAGUGCAGUGGAGCCGAGUCUGUCAUAGCAAUAUUUUUAAUAAUAUAUUGUAAUUGAUAAAUAAAAUUAUUUCUAAUAUAUUUAAUAUAUAAAAAAAAUAUUUAAAAUUGUUUAAAAAUAUGAUUAACGACCUUAAAAUACAGAAUAUAAAGGUAUUAUUUAAUUAUUAAAAUAUAUUUAUAAAUUUAUAGUUAAUGAAAUGGAAUUAAAUGAUGAUCUAUUGAACCUUAUUUUUAUCUAAUUAAGUAAUCUCACGUCAUAAAUAAGAAUGUCACUUCAUAAAAAUUGAACAAAUCGAUAAAUUUCAAAAAUUAUAAAAUUAAAGGACUAAAACUCCAAUUUUUAAAAUAAAAAAAUUAAAAAUUAAAUUAAAACAAAAUAGAUAGAUCAAAAUGUAUUUAAGUAUUUUUCUACCAAAAGAGUGCAUUAACCUACCGACAACAUUCCAGCUAAUUUUGGUAUUUUCUGUUAUUUUUAUAAAAGUAAAAAAGAAUUAUUAUACUAAAAUAAAUGAAAGGUUUAAUUAACUGGAAUAAUUUUUUUAAUUGUUAAAAAAAUAAAAGGUUUAAUUAAUUUUAGUACUUAUGAAAUAUAUUAUAUUUUAUUUAUUCAUCACAAUCUUAUAUAUUUUAUAAAAUUAAAUGAAAAAUUGGCCUCUCUCCUCACUUACAAUCUGUUUUUUUAAAUGAAUUAUUGAUGUUUGAGACAAUUAAAAUUUUAAUAUUAUCUUAAACUAAUUUUAUUGGUAAAAAAUAAAAUUUAACUAAUUAAUUAAAAAUAAAAAUAAGUCGACUCGUUAAAACCUUGAGAAAACAUUAAUACUCUUGAGAAAUAAAUAAGUGUAGAGCAAGAAAAUUCAUAGACAACUAAAAUGUAAAGUAAUUUCUUGGAAUCAAAUUUUAAUUAUCCUAUAAAAAACACGUGAACAUUGAACGAUCUCAAUCUGUAGAGUUUUGUUACAUAUGAUAUAAAUCACAAUGGUUCAAUGUCACGUCAUUUUAAAAAUUAAUUAAAAUAUUAAAUUAAUAUUAAUUUAAAUUUACAACAUAUAUUUUUCAAACAUAAUUGUUCCAUAUAAAAGCUGUCGAUAGUUAUUAUUGUUUCAUUUGAAAUUCAUCAGAAAAGUGUUUAAAUUCCGUCGCAUAUCAUUCCCAAAAACGUCCAUAUAAAAGGAUUUUUUAGUAGUGAGUUUUGUCAAAAGGGUAUUGAUAAAUAAUGUAAUAUAUUCAAAUUAGAAUAACAAGGUUUUCUUUUGGUAUAUAAAUAACUCCAUGCUGAAAAUAGAACGGUAUUUGUUUGAUUGGUUGUGACGUAAUUGUCACCUGAUAAUAAAAUAAAUGACAUUUAACAGAUAAAAAUGUUAUAUAGGAGUCUUUUAAGAUUUCAACUUCUAGCUACUGGUCAACUAUUGGUUAACGUAAUUAUUUGUUAAGUUGAUAUCAAAAUUUUCUCUAUAUUUUGAAGAGCGGAGCGUUAAAAGAGAUCCAUCAGGGAUUCGAUUAUCACUCUUAAUAUAAUCUUAAUAAUUAUUAAUAUAACUUUGACUUUAAAAAAAAUAAAUAUAUUAUAAUAAAUUUAGUGAAGAGAGUAAAUAUUUGUAAAAAUAUAAAGUAGGAGAGAAAAAUUAGAUAUAAUAAUAUAAAAUAAGAGAGAGAAAAUAGAUAUAAUUAUUGGAACUAAGAUGAUUUUCCACUUAUAGUUUUAAUGUUAACAUAAGCAUUUUAUAAGAACAACAAAUUUGCCUUAGUGGCUUCAUUAAGUAUUCAAAAAUUAGAAGAAGAAUAUCAUAGAAAGGUACUAAAGGAAACGACCAGAGGUAAGUCACAAGAGGAAGUGACUAGAGAAAGAGAUCAGCGGAACAUAAAGUAUAUAUGUUUGCCUUUGAAUAUAUGCAUUUAAAAGUAUUGUGGCUCUAAAGGUUACAAAGAUUGGUCUGAUGUAUGAGUCUAAUGUUUAAGUCUGAUGACUGCCUAUGAAGAAUGGCUCUGAAACUAAGUUUGAAAGACAGCUUCUAAAGACUUUCUGAAAAUUGAAUUUGAAGCAUGCCUCUAAAAUUCUUGCAUGUCUCUGAGCUGCACAAAUUUAACAUGCAUCUGAAGAGUUCAUAUCAAGGUAUAAUUAACUCUGAAGAGAUUGUUCAAAUCAUUAAUUCAAAGCUCACAAUAUGUUGAUCAAAAUGGUGCAACACAAUCCAAAUGUUGCUUCUAAUAAGCAUCUUCUAAUGUUGCACUGACUCUUAAGUUUCAACAAGGUGAUUUACCAAAUGCCACUAGUUCUAAUUCAUGUAAUUCUGCCUCUGACUAUCAUUAUUAAAUAAACACAAUAUCUCACUCCAACAAAAAAGUCAAUGACUCUGAUGGAAAGUCAACAAUUGAAACUGAAAGAAUUAAGUAUAAAAAGAAGACUUAUCUGAAUCCAUUCGAGAACAAUCUGAAUCCAUUCCAGUUCAAAUCAAGCAAGAGUAUGAAAGAAGAUUUGUGUUUUUGAAAACAAUCUAAAAUAAGAUUUGAUUUAGAUAUAUAAUUGAAGAAAAUCUUUGACCAAGUUGAAAAGAACAUAUGGUCAAGAUUUGAAGAAGAUAUGAUGAAAAUCUUAUCAACAAGAAGAUAUGAAUUAUUUACAGGAAUAUUUGAUCGAGAUUUAUCACAAAAAGAUAUGUAUUAUUUACAAGAAGAUUUGAUCAAGAUUUAUCUACAAGAAGAUAUGAGUUAUUUAAGAGAAGAUUUGAUCAAGAUUUAUCUACAAGAAGAUAAGAAUUAUUUACAAGAAGAUUUGAUGAACAUUUAUCAACAAGAAGAUAUGGAUUAUUUACAAGAAGAGUUGAUUAGAAUCUACAAGAAUAUAUUAAUUAUUUACAAGAAGAUAUAAUCAAGAAUUGUUUACAAGAAUAAACAUUCACAAGAAGAUACAUUUAUUAAUUGCAAAUAUAUGAUUCAGAUUUUGCAGGGACAAAGGAGAAACUCCAACUUAUUCUCUAAAGAGAUACUCAAGACUGAAUAAAAAAAUAAGAGAAUUCACAAGAACAAAAUUUCAUUAGUCAUUAACGUUCAUAAGGUUAAGGUCUAGAAAAACAUUUUCUCAAAAGAAAUAUUUUUGAAGUGUUUUCUAGUGUAAGAGUCAUUGUUACAAUUAGCUUGUUAUAGGCAAACUAAUUUGUUCCAAACUCUUGUAUCCCAGACUGAUAAUGACUUUCGUGUUCCUCAAGCAAUAUGUAAGUUUUCAUGUUGAGUUGGGAAGACUUGACAUGUAGAGUCAAGGUGUUUGUGUUCCUAAAAAAAAUUAUAGGUGUAAGGUUGUUUUGAGAAGAUUGAUUUGUAGGGUCAGAUGUUGUGUAAUUAAUAUUUUUAAUUAGUUGAUUGAAUUCUUCUUAGUAAGGGAACUGAACGUAACUACCAAGUUGGUGGUGAACUAGGAUAAAUUUUUGUAUCACUUUAAUUCUGUAAUUCUUGUUUUACUUCUACCUCUGAUCACUUAACUCGAUUGUUACUACUUUUAUUCUAAAUAAGUCACAAAAUUCGAACUAGUUUUAAAUAAAUUAACAAAAAUAAUUCGACUAGUCAAACACAAUUCAACUCCCCUUCUCGUGCUAACACCUUCAAUAAUAAUACAAAUUGAGAUGAGAGAAAGAAAAAAAGAAAGAAUCAAUAGAUAUUUCUAUUUUAAUUAUUAAUAAGGGAGAGUAAAUAGAUAUAAUAAUGCAAUAAUAAUAAUAUAGGAGAUAUAAGGUUAAUUUAUUUUACAAAAAAGGUUAAUUUAUUUUACAAAAAGCCAAACUAUAUUAAAAACGUGAAGCAGAUGGUACAUGAAAUAAGGUUGACUUUUUAUUUCUUUGGAGAAUAGAGUUGAGUGAUAAAAAAUAGACGAUUAUAUUGUUACCUUUAACAAAAUACUAACAAUUUUAAUUAUUAAUCUUGGUUGUUGAACAUUUCUAUUGUAUAAUAUGUUUCUAAAAUAGUAUUGAGAUAAUUUUGAAUUGACCAACAAUGAGUUAUGUUUUUAAAGAUAUUUAUAUCCUCUUAUAAAAUAAAAUAUAAGUAAAAGUUGAUCAACUAUACAUAUUACAAAAUACAGUUGAUGUUAUUAAAUCAUAGUUUAAUCGAUAAAUAUUAAAAUUGGUCAGAUCUUUAGUAUAUUAUUAUUCCUCUAGAAAAUUCACUGUCUACCAAUUAGUUUUCACAUAACUCUAUAAUUUGAAUCUACCCAUCCAAUUACAGAAAAAGAUUCCAAAUAAAUUAUCAAUAUGGUAUGCUUGAUAUUUUGACAUCACAAUCAACAAAUUUAAAUAAAUUUCAUAUCUAACAUUCUUACUUUCAUGGCUCAAAAUUUCAAUUAUUCACCCAUCAAGUCGUGAUUUGAAAGGAUAAAAAGUUGAAAAUGUUCCUAUUACAGUAAGAAUACGGACUCUACUUAUUAAUAUCCAUUGUUCAAUCUCUAUUGAAUUCCUUGCAAACUAGAGAACCAAACUAUGAAUAACAAUAAUAAUAAAUAACUUUGUAGAACAUAAACUGUUGAAACUAAAGAUGCAGCAACUAGUUGUUACCUGAGAACCAAGAGAUAUUUGAGUUCACAACAAGCAACAACCUAUGCGCAACAACAACCUUCGAUGUUUGUGUCGCAACGAGAGAUUUGAACAUGUGCGUAACAAUCAUAACAUUGAAAUUAAAAACAGUUCAAAACAUUCAAAAUCAUCAUUGUAGAGGAAGUUUCAAAACAUUCAACUCAAUCAUUGUACAAAACAAGUAAAAAGGGCUAAAAAAAAGAACAAUAAAAAAGUUCAAAUCGUAACAGUGAAAAAUAAAAAACGUGAGCACAAAAAACAUUUGCCAGAAAAGAGAAAUUAACCUGAGGCACCAGAAAACGCGUGUGGAACACGUGAUAGGAAACGAAGCAAAAUUGUCGCCGAAAAACGCGAGAAAACGGAGGCUGGAAAAUUCAAGCAGAACGGAGGUCGGAAAACGCGACUAGAACGAAGUCCGGAUAACGCAAGCAGAACGGAGGCCAUAAACGCUAGCAGAACCGAGGCUAGAAAACGUGAGCAGAAAGGAGGUCGUAAAACUCUAACAAGAAGUCGAAACUAAACAAUGUGGAGGGAGGAACGACCGAUAUGGCACAAAAUUUUAGUUCUGAAAUUUUAGGGUAAAAGACUUUUUAGUUAUGAGACCUGAGAGAGAGAUUUGAGGGGGAAAAGAACCAGUGAGAUGUCAAAAUGGUUAGCACGUUUCUAAUUUCCAACAAAGUAUGGCGACGGUUGCAAAAAAAACGCCGCAGGAACCGUCGCAGUGUAUGAACGCAUGCAGCUUUCUAAAAUCGGUCGCAGAGCAUGUGCUGCAAUAUUUUUAAUUUUUUUGUAGUGUAGUAAUCUAGUUCCUUCCCCAAUUAAAACACAAGAUUUCGAAAAUUCUCAACAAAAGUUGAUAACUAUCAAAAUAGACAACCAAUUACUACCUUCGUCUCUUAUUAUAAAUAAUCAUUAUUUUUUUUAAUUAUAAAAAGUUAGUAAAAUUAUUAAUGUAUUUAUUUUACAUGUUAACGUUCUUAAAAUAAUUUUGUAUUUAAAGUAUCUAAAUUUAUUAAAUUUAAUUUUUUAUAUUUUAAGACAAAUUAGUAGUAUUAAAAAAUAAUAUGUUUGAAAAUAAAUAAAUAAACACACCUAACAUAAAUUGAGUGCCCGCAUUCCAUUUUAUGAUGGAAGGAUAUUGGUCUAUGUGAGCUCAUUGGACCAAUCAUUUUCAUGCAACUCUCUUUGCCGCUUUUAUUUCUUAAUUACUGCAAAUAUGAUUUUGCUUCCUAAUUUAUGGCUCAAGGUAAAAAUGGGUUUGGUAUAUGCUUUCAAAACCAUUUGAAUGCUUUCGUAUUUGUAUAAUCCCUAUUGAUAGUUUCAUACUCUUUCAUUGAAGAAGGAAAUUCAACAUGGAUGACAAAUGUCAAAACUUUAUUUACAAACGUAACUCUAAUACAUAUGCCUUUUCUGCAAUUUUUAAUACAUAAAUUAAAUCUCUCUUUAUAGGUAAUUUAGUAAAACAAUUUCUCCCAACAAAUUUAAUAUUAUAAUUAAUAUUUUAAUUUUCGUGAUUUAGUCAACAAAGUCUUAUAUAUUAUAUAUUAAGACCAACGUACUAUUAUACUUGUAUAAAUUAAACAACUAAAUUAUUAUUAUGAUUAUUGUACUUUUCUUCAAGUUAUAGUAAUUUAAUUAUAUGUAAACUAUGAAAAUUGGAUUUCUUCUACAGUUGUAGUAAUUUAACUAUAUGUAAAUUAUGAAAGUUUCAUUUCUUCCACUUUUAUUGAUAGUUGGCUCGUAUUCUUUCUAAUCAUCUCUAUUGCAAAGUAACCCUCAUAAUUUUUAGGAGACGUUUUUAUUGUAUCAAAAAUUUAAUUAAUGAUGAAAUGCAAUGAGUUUCAUUUUACUCAAAAAAUAAAUAGAGUUGAAAAUAGAUUCGUAUCAUACUCUCAAACAUAAGAAAAUAUAUCUCUUCUUCAACCGAAGAGACAUCCAAAAGUAAACUGUGUUAACCUCUCAAAACACACGUUAUAAGAUACAAAAAUCCAUAAAAUCUUCUGAGUUGAGAACCCCAAAAAUAAAAAUGAUAAUCAAAAUUAGCAUUUGUUUGCCUUAAUUCAAGGCCAAGAAGCUAAUUUAAGAUAUUCAAAUUUAUUAUCAAAUAAUAUACGUUAAAAAAGUUCUAAUAUAUUUUUAUUAUAUAUUAUUCUUGUUAAAGUUGUUCUUAUAUUUCUAAUUUAUUUAAUAGUUAAGAGAAUUUUCGGUGCUUACAUCAUAUAUUGUUUGUGUAAUAUAAAAUAUUAUAUCUCUAUCAGAAUAUUGAUGAUAUUCUCUCUACCAUAUAUGUAUUUUACAACUAAACUUUUCAUUUAAUUAAUGUGUUAAUCGUAAAUUAUAUUACCUUUUCAAAAGAAUUAUUGCGUUUGAUUAUCUUUUAACAUAUGUACAUAUUACGUUAAAUUUUAAAUAUUAAUUUAUAUACAAUCUCAAUUUUAUAUCUAAUAUAAUAGUUGGAUGAUGAUUUUCAUUAGGAUACAAAAUUAAUUGAAAGUUAUUCUAUUAUAUUAUUGUGUAGUUUAUGCAAAAUAAAAUGCAGUAUAAUUAAAAUUUUAUAUAUUAUUUAUUUUAUAAUUUUUCUCAUAAUUCAUGUCAUAAGAAGAAGAAGCUAGAGUGACAUCCAUGUGAGUAGUGUUAGUGUGACGAUGGAGAAUCUUAUCAUUAUCAAUAUGAAACUCUCUUUUUCUUCAUUUGAUUAUUAAAUCUUUAUUUUGGUGUAAAUUUACUUUGAUAUUGAAAUGACAAUAGGAAACUUCUUUCUUCAUUUGAUUAUGCACCUUGCUAUGUCAUAAGGAUUGUUGAAGCACUCUAGACAAUGGCAAUAUUAUGAGUCUUUUUGUAUGUUGCUGAGUGAGUAUUGCAUUUAAAAAGGAAACGCAUAGAUUAGUGAGUGAGUGACUGAGUGGAACACAGUGUGCUUGCAACAAUGCUUUUACUUCAAUUAGUGUAAUAAUCAAAGUGUUAAAGCUUCGUCUCUCUCAACAAUGGCAAAAGAAAAGUAGAAUGUGUGAGGAGUAAAAUGCAUAUAAUCGAACAUCAUGCAUAUGAGUUCGGAAUCAGUACACUUGCUUAAUGUAAGGUUAAUUCCUUUAAAUACUUUUUCAGGUAAAGACAUAUACUUUGCCAUAUGAUAACUUUUUUUUUUCUUCUUGUGAAUCUAUAAUAGUAUUAACAUUCUCCACCAAUAUUUGUACUUUGUAUAUAUUACUAAUUAGAAUUCACUAUUUACUUCACUUGCUUUCAUUUUUCUGACACAAUAUAUUUGUCGAAAAACACAAUGCAAUGACUAUGCUCUCUCCUUUAAAAAAAAAAUAUUAAGAAUGGUUGUGCCACGAAAUUAAUAAAUAUGGUUUUUAUCUUGUUUAUGGUUGUGUUAACUAUCACCUCACUCCUAUUUUUUUUCCACCAUUCUUGUAUAGUUGUAAUUGAUCUGCUUUAUUGAGUCACUAAGCUUAAAGUAUUGUACUGCUUCUUUUUUUUAUUCAACCACAAAUUAGAUAAAGUAAAAAAAAAAAAUAGCUUCUUGGGCAAGUAGCUAGAGAUUAAUUUCCUUUUCUUUUUGCUAAUUCAUUUGCUAUUCAACCAUAAAUUAGAUUAACGGAAUCUUUCAUUUAGACAUACUAUAAUUUGAAUGGUUCCAAAUAAUGUAUAUCAUCUAAAAACCACAAAAGUUAAGAGUGGGCUACCAUAGAGAAAAGAGAAGAUUAAAAUAGGAACAUGAAUAUAUUCAUGUAUGUGUGUAAUAACCUAUUACAAUCUCCUCAUACUUAUUUGGCCUAAAUAAUUUACCAAGUAUCAAUUAUGUUAUCUUUGUUUAUUACAAAUGGUUCCACACAAAUACACUAUCAUUCUUACUUAUUUCUUUCUUUAUCCUUUAUGUGUCAUAUAUAACUACUAACAAAAUGGUAAUUAAUAAAAAAAAUAGGGGUAAGAUAAUAGAUGGAGAAUAUUCUCACAGAUCCCUUUCUUUCACAAGUUAACAAAAUUUCUUUGUUAGCAUCGAUUUAAGAGACACCAAUGCAUUUUGUUAGUUAGAAACAAUGUUAUAUGAACAAGCUCAAUGUUUAUUUCUUAGAUUAGUAACUAGUGAAACACCAUAUACGUGAAGAGAAGAGAAUGUUAAAAUAAGAAUCUUGAUACCAUAAUAUAUUAAUUAACACAGUUUUUUACCUUGGUGACUAGGAAACACAUAAAAGCAUGCAUUGUGGGUUCGAUGUUGCUAAAAAUGUGAGUUCUAAAGAGGAAAAAAAAAAUUAAAAAGCACAAAUAAAAAGCAUGCAACAACAUGAAUUAAAAAACAAAAGUAAUUAGAGAAUGCAACAAUUCAACAAAGACUAUUCUCACAAAUCUCUUUCUUUUGCAACUUAACCAAAUUUCUUUGUCGGCCUCCAAUUAAGAGACACCAAUGCACUUUUUUUUAUUUAAUAAAUUGACGAACUAGCAUGUAAGAUUUAAUUUUUAUUUUUAUCCUUGUACUUAGAACUCAUAUCUUUAUUAGCUUUUGUGUGGUAUGUGAGUCACCGCCAUAAUCUUCAUACAUUACUCUUUUAGUUGAGGUUGGGUUUUUAGUUGGGUUGGAUAAAUUAAUGAAUCAAAUUUAGUCUUUUUGUUUGGUUGAGCUAGUUAAACAACUGACAAAAAAAGUGUCAACUAAAGUUUGAAUUAAUUUAAAAAAUAGCAAUUUAACAAAAGUUUAAUUGUAGUUUUGAUUUUUUAAUUUAUUUUAUUAAUUCUUUGACUUGUUCUCCGUAUUUUAAAAUCCGACAAUUUUAGUUUAUCUAUCAAAAUUUUCAACUAAAAAAAUGACGUGACAUAUUUUAAAGGAUUGACUUAUAAUACGAUAAUUUUGACUGAUUAAUACCCAUAAAAUUGAAAUAAAACAUUUCAAAAGCUUUAGUUUCAACUUCAAUAAUGAUUUAUUUGUAUAAUUAAAUUAAUAACAUAUGAAUAAUUAAUCUAUCAAGAUGGUUGUAAAUAAUAGCAUCAUAUAUCAUGUCAUUUAAAAGAUGUUAAAUCAUCAUUUUGUUAGUUAAAAAAUCUGAAAGAUAGACCAAAAUUGUCGCUUUAAAAAAUAGGAGGACCAAUUCUAAUAAUUGGUAAAAAUAGAUAGACCAAAAUUGUAGUAUACUAUUUUUUAAUCUAGUAUGACAAUCCAACUUGCCUCGCCUCGUGAUCCUCUAUUUUUUUUUAUAGAUUAAACGAGGUGGCCCGACAUAGGUAUAUCAGUUAUAUGCGGUGUAUACUCCACAAUUUAAAGGAUUUCUUUUUAGAUUGCUUGCAAAAUGGUUCGGCAUGUGGUUAAUUUGUUUGGAUCCCAUUUUACAGGGCAUGUGUCUUUCACGAAGUUGGAGUUAUAGAUUCUUCUGACUGAUUGGGUUCAUGGUCGACCCCGUACAACUAUCAUUCAAGUUUAUUGGUCUUCAACUCUUUCUAAUUUGAUAAAGUGUAAUAUUGAUGGCGCAACCAGAUACACACCUAAUGAUGUUGGUGGCGAAAGGUAUUUUCGAAAAUAGCAUAACUACUUUACUUUUAUUGGUAGUUUUGAGAUGAAGUUUGUCAUCACUAUUACUUUUCAUAUAGAGUUGUUAGUGGAUAUGUUUUAUAUGUAAAAUUCUUAUUCAUGAGGUUAACUUUGUCUUUGAUUAGAAAAAAACUAUUUGGUUGUAGUUGGCUCUUUAAAGGAUCAUAGUUGGAUCCUUUGACACUUAUAUAUGAUCAGGUGAAAAAAUUAUUAUUUCUUUAGAGAUGUAUGAAUUUUACGAUUUGUCUCAUAUUUAUCAAAAAAAAACAAUUGUGUGGAUAAAUUAGUAAAUCAUGAAAAUACUGCUUCAACUUUACAUCUAUGGGAUUAUUUAAUUUAUAUGCGUUCAUUACGGGAUACUUAUUUUAUAAUAGAUUUUGUUUUCUGGCGAUCGUUUCAAUUGAUAUAUAUUUAUUUUGUUUUGAAUUUUAGUUUUUGUUUGCAUUGUACUUUUUUUUUCUUUCACUAUGGUUUUAUCUCAAUGACUUAUUCAAAUAAAUUUUUUAAUGAAGGAAUUGAUUAACAUUUUAAAUGACUGUAUUCUUUAGAUUUGGUUUAGUCCCCAAUAUGUUUCUUUUUGUUUAUGUUUUAAUAAUAACUUUAAGUAAGUGCAAGUAAUUUUUUUUAAAGGGUUAUGAUCUUGUAAAAAAUAGUUAAGAUAAUUUUUUUAACUCUAUGGUUCUUAGAGAAAAGAGUUCUAGUAAUAUAGAGUUCGACUGAUAUGUAAGUAAAAUCUGAUCAAUAGUUGUUUUAGUUAGAAUUUGAAUUCAAGUUCUUCUAAACAAUAUUCACUACUAGAAAAUCUACUUUUAGCGUCGGCCGGAAACCCACGCUAAAUGACAAAAAGCCGACGCUAAUGGCGAUUUAGCGUCGGAUUAGCGUCGGUGUCGAGCCUAGGCUAAAACGGUCGAAGCUAAUGGGGUAGCGUCGGCUGAACCCACGCUACGCCGACGCUACUAACAAUUACAAAACAUUCGACGCUAGUUAUAUCCUUGACACGUCAUUUGUUAAAAUUCAGUUGUGUCGGAUGGACGACGCUAGAGUUCACUAAAUUUUAAUACUGUAGCGUCGGUCUUGCCGACGCUAGUGGACCAAAAUGGAAAUUUGUGGAAGUCUGGCAACACGAUUAGGGUCGUUCCAGAUAUGACACAAUUAAAAAUUUCAAUCUUUAUCCUAAUGCAACAUGAAACUUUUCAAAACUAAAUUUGACAAAGGUUGAUAGAGGCUGUUGCAGUUUCUAUAAAAUUAACUCAAUAAAAAAUUCACUUGUAACCAAUCAUAUGUUUUGAAUUCAUCUAAUAAAUUGAAAAGGAAAAAUAUAUAAGAAUCAUGCAUACCCUUAAACCAACCAUAGUUGUUCCAUAGUCUAUAGAUCAAUGGUGCAUUCAAUUAGUCAAUACCAACAAAAUAUGUAAAAAAAAAUCAUAAACACAUCACUAAAAACAUUAUUGGUAAAAAGAUAUAUGUGAACUUGAUGAGACAUUAACCAGAAAUAGAAAAUGUUAUUUCAUCACUUUUAUUGACGAUUGCUCUUAUUACACUUUUGUAUAACUAAUGAAAAAUAAAAGUGAAGCGCUUGACAUGUUUAAGAUCUUUGUAACUGAAAUUGAAAAUCAAUUUAGUAAAAAGAUUGAGAGGUUUCGUAGUGAUAGAGGAACAUAGUAUGAUUCUAGUUUAUAUAAUGAAUUUUAUAAAACCCAAGGAAUUAUACAUGAAACUAUUGCUCCAUAUUCACUUGAAAUUAAUGGUAAAGCUGAAAGAAAGAAUAGACAUCUUACUGAACUAGUUGUUGCCAUUAUGCUUAACUCUGGUGCUGCAUUUCACUGGUAGGGAGAAAUUAUUUUGACUGUUUACUAUAUUUUGAAUAGAAUACCUAAAUCUAAAAACAAAACAUCUCCUUAUGAGAUAAUGAAGAAAAGACAACCUAACUUGUCUUAUCUUCGAACAUGGGGUGGUCUGGCUUAUGUCAGAAUCCCCGAUCCCAAGUGAAUUAAUCUCGCUAGUAGAUCAUAUGAAUGUGUAUUCAUUGGGUAUGCAGUAAAUAGUAAAGCGUAUAGAUUCUAUGACCUAAAUGCUAAAGUGAUCAUAUAAUCAAAUAAUGUUGACUUCUAUGAAAAUAAAUUCCCUUUCAAAUCAAGAAAUAGUGGAGGCAACGAACCUAGUCAAGUUCCUGUGACAAGAAGCACUGAAAGCAACAACCAAGGCAAAAAAGAAAUUCGAACAAGUAAGAGAGUUAGAAUUGUCAAAUAUUAUGGACCCAAAUAUAUCGCCUAUAACUUAGAAGAAGUUCCUGCAAAUCUAAAAGAAGUUUUGUCAUCAUUGGAUGCAGAUUUAUGGCAAUAAGCUAUAAAUGAUGAAAUGGAUUCUCUAGAGUCUAACGAGACCUGACAUUUAGUAGACUUGUCUCCUAGUUGCAAACCAAUAGGUUGUAAAUGGAUACUUAAAAAGAAACUAAAAGCUAAUGUAACUGUUGAUAAAUACAAGGCACGCCUUGUAGCCAAAGGUUUUAGACAAAUAAAAAAAUAUAGAUUUCUUCGAAACUUUUUUACCAGUCACUAGAAUAACAUCCAUAAGGGUGUUCAUAUGACUUGCGGCUAUUCAUAACCUGGUGAUACACCAGAUAGAUGUUAAAACAACUUUUUUAAAUGGUGACCUGGAAGAAGAAAUUUAUAUGGAACAACCUGAGGGUUUUGUAAUUCAUGGACAAGAAGACAAGGUCUGUAAGUUAGAUAAGUCUCUGUAUGGUCUUAAACAAGCUCCUAAGAAAUGACAUGAAAUUUUUGGAUAACUUGAUUAUAUCGAAUGAGUUUAAAGUGAAUGAAAGUGACAAAUGUAUUUAUUACAAAUUUGAAAAAUGGCAUUUGCAUUAUCAUAUGUCUAUAUGUAGAUGACUUACUCAUAUUUGAUUCAAACAUUCAUGCUGUAAAUAAUUUGAAAUCUUUGUUGAGUAACAACUUUGAUAUGAAAGACCCCGAAGAAGCAAAUGUAAUCCUUGGCUCAAAAUGGUAUGCUUGAUAUUUUGACAUCACAAUCAACAAAUUUAAAUAAAUUUCAUAUCUAACAUUCUUACUUUCAUGGCUCAAAAUUUCAAUUAUUCACCCAUCAAGUUGUGAUUUGAAAGGAUAAAAAGUUGAAAAUGUUCCUAUUACAGUAAGAAUACGGACUCUACUUAUUAAUAUCCAUUGUUCAAUCUCUAUUGAAUUCCUUGCAAACUAGAGAACCAAACUAUGAAUAACAAUAAUAAUAAAUAACUUUGUUGAACAUAAACUAUUGGAACUAAAGAUGCAGCAACGAGUUCUUACCUGAGAACCAAGAUAUAUUUGAGUUCACAACAAGCAACAACCUAUGCGCAACAACAACCUUCGAUUUUUGUGUCGCAACGAGAGAUUUGAACCUGUGCGUAACAAUCAUAACAUUGAAAUUAAAAACAGUUCAAAACAUUCAAAAUCAUCAUUGUAGAGGAAGUUUCAAAACAUUCAACUCAAUCAUUGUACAAAACAAGUAAAAAUGGCUAAAAAAAAAGAACAAUAAAAAAGUUCAAAUCGUAACGGUGAAAAAUAAAAAACGUGAGCACGAAAAACAUUUGCCAGAAAAGAGAAAUUAACCUGAGGCACCAGAAAACGCGUGUGGAACACGUGAUAGGAAACGAAGCAAAAUCGUCGCCGAAAAACGCGAGAAAACGGAAGCUGGAAAAUUCAAGCAGAACGGAGGUCGGAAAACGCGACUAGAACGAAGUCCGGAUAACGCAAGCAGAACGGAGGCCAUAAACGCUAGCAGAACUGAGGCUAGAAAACGUGAGCAGAAAGGAGGUCAUAAAACUCUAACAAGAAGUCGAAACUGAACAAUGUGGAGGGAGGAAUGACCGAUAUGGCACAAAAUUUUAGUUCUGAAAUUUUAGGGUAAAAAGGUUUUUAGUUAUGAGACCUGAGAGAGAGAUUUGAGGGGGAAAAGAACCAGCGGGAUGUCAAAAUGGUUAGCACGUUUCUAAUUUCCAACAAAGUAUGGCGACGGUUGCAAAAAAAACGCCGCAGGAACCGUCGCAGUGUAUGAACACAUGCAGCUUUCUAAAAUCGGUCGCAGAGCAUGUGCUGCAAUAUUUUUAAUUUUUUUGUAGUGUAGUAAUCUAGUUCCUUCCCCAGUUAAAACACAAGAUUUCGAAAAUUCUCAACAAAAGUUGAUAACUAUCAAAAUAGACAACCAAUUACUACGUUCGUCUCUUAUUAUAAAUAAUCAUUAUUUUUUUUAAUUAUGAAAAGUUAGUAAAAUUAUUAAUGUAUUUAUUUUACAUGUUAACGUUCUUAAAAUAAUUUUGUAUUUAAAGUAUCUAAAUUUAUUAAAUUUAAUUUUUUAUAUUUUAAGACAAAUUAGUAGUAUUAAAAAAUAAUAUGUUUGAAAAUAAAUAAAUAAACACACCUAACAUAAAUUGAGUGCCCGCAUUCCAUUUUAUGAUGGAAGGAUAUUGGUCUAUGUGAGCUCAUUGGACCAAUCAUUUUCAUGCAACUCUCUUUGCCGCUUUUAUUUCUUAAUUACUGCAAAUAUGAUUUUGCUUCCUAAUUUAUGGCUCAAGGUAAAAAUGGGUUUGGUAUAUGCUUUCAAAACCAUUUGAAUGCUUUCGUAUUUGUAUAAUCCCUAUUGAUAGUUUCAUACUCUUUCAUUGAAGAAGGAAAUUCAACAUGGAUGACAAAUGUCAAAACUUUAUUUACAAACGUAACUCUAAUACAUAUGCCUUUUCUGCAAUUUUUAAUACAUAAAUUAAAUCUCUCUUUAUAGGUAAUUUAGUAAAACAAUUUCUCCCAACAAAUUUAAUAUUAUAAUUAAUAUUUUAAUUUUCGUGAUUUAGUCAACAAAGUCUUAUAUAUUAUAUAUUAAGACCAACGUACUAUUAUAUUUGUAUAAAUUAAACAACUAAACAACUAAAUUAUUAUUAUGACUAUUGUACUUUUCUUCAAGUUAUAGUAAUUUAAUUAUAUGUAAACUAUGAAAAUUGGAUUUCUUCUACAGUUGUAGUAAUUUAACUAUAUGUAAAUUAUGAAAAUUUCAUUUCUUCCACUUUUAUUGAUAGUUGGUUAGUACUCUUUCUAAUCAUCUCUAUUGCAAAGUAACCCUCAUAAUUUUUAGGAGACGUUUUUAUUGUAUCAAAAAUUUAAUUAAUGAUGAAAUGCAAUGAGUUUCUUUUUACUCAAAAAAUAAAUAGAGUUGAAAAUACAUCCGUAUCAUACUCUCAAACAUAAGAAAAUAUAUCUCUUCUUCAACCGAAGAGACAUCCAAAAGUAAAUUGUGUUAACCUCUCAAAACACACGUCACUACGCGAAAAAACGCAUAUUACAGCGCUUUUUUUAAGCCAUUUACAGCGUUUUUUCAAAAAAAUAAGCGCUGUGGAAACGAGCGCUGUAAAUGAUACAACAGCGCUUUUAAAAAAGCGCUAUAAAACAUGUAAAUACAACGCGCGCUUGUUAUGCACAUUUUACAGCGCUUCUUCACAAAAAACGCUGUAAUAUGCACCCCAUUAUAUGAGUUAUGGGUGUGCAUUUUACAGCGCUUUCUCAAAAAAACGCUGUAAAAUGCCCACCCAUAUGUGAAAUUAUGGGUGGGCAUAUUACAGCGCUUUCUCACAAAAGCGCUGUAAUAUGCCCACCCAUAAUUUCACAUAUGGGUGGGCAUUUUACAGCGUUUUUUUGAGAAAGCGCUGUAAAAUGCACACCCAUAAUUUCAUAUAUGGGUGUGCAUAUUACAACGCUUUCUCAAAAAAGCGCUGUAAAAGGCCCACCCAUAAUUUCAUAUUAUGGGUCUGCAUUUUACAGCGCUUUUCUUGUACAUUUUACAGCGCUUUCUCACGAAAGCGCUGUAAAAGGUGCACCAUUAAAGCGCUUUUUAACUUUCUCACGCUGUAAAUUAAUUAUUUGAAAUGAAAAGCGCUUUUUAGCUUUUUAUGGCUUUUUUUUUAAAAAGCGCUGUCUUUUAUCUUUGUAUCCAAAAUUAUUUUGAUCCAAAAUCACUUCACAAUCAGUGUUUCACUCUCCAUUUGUAUUUCAGGUUGGAGCUGAACCGGAAGUUGCUUGUCUUUAUUCGUAUUCACCAAGAGUGCCACUUGCUCCGAUAAGAUUCUGAGCUUCUCUAAUACUUCCUCGUUGGAAGGUUUUUGGCGCUUCUCUUGAGGAAAAAAGCUUUUGGGAGUUACGCCAAAUCCUUUCCCCCUCACUCGACCGGAAUACUCAGGGACAUUAAACACUUUCCCAAGAAUGUCCCUGCACGUAUCCUUGUUGCCCUCUUGAGUUUCAGAACUUUGUUCAAUAGUUUCCUAAAAUACAUGUAACAUUAAAAAGAUAAGUUCAAUAGCAUUUUUAAAAUACAAUAUUAAAAAAUAUUAAAGUGAUAAUAUACUUACACAAAGUUCUACAACUUUCUUGACAUUUUCAUUAUCAACCACUCCUUCUUUGUUAACACGCGCUUCCUUCCAUAAGAUAUGACGACCCAAGGGUUGAUCGGCUUGGGUGUCUUUUCUCUAUUCGUUAAAAUCAUAAACAAAAUAAUACAAAUUAGUUACACACUAUAGUUUAUAAUACAAAUUACAAGUGAUGUUUAAUUACUUACAAUUUUUUGUUCAAGGCGUGCAUAUCCCAUACGUGAUUUCUUGUAUGGGUGUUUUGGGUUGCUUGCCCGUUCGCGAUUUGCCUUACUAAUAUUCUAUAUAAAAAAAAAAUAGCAAUUGUGUAAAAAUUUAAAAUACGCUACGAAUAUGAAUAAUAAAACACAAAUGCUAAUAAAUUAAUCACUUACGACAAACGCCGGGUCAGAACGUUUGGAAACAAAUGCACUCCAUUCAUCCUUUGAUAUAUAAUGUUGAUAUAUCUUUGGAGGUUCAGCAUUUGUGUUUCCUUCUCUAUCUUUUAGAUAGAAAUUUGAGAGAUGGGAUCUAAAUCCACGAUGGAUUUUCCCAGCAACUCUCAAAACAUAUGACUUUCGUUCCUCAUCAAGAACAAAAGUGGUCUGCAAUGAAAACAAUUAUAAGUAAUGUAUUUUACAGAAAAAAAAUUAUAAAUGACAAAAGAGUAGAUCAAAAUAUUUACUUGAAUGUCAUUCCAGAUGAUAUCUUUGGCAUCCUUCAACGCCUUAUCUCUCCAGUUGUCUAUUGUUAUUGGGACAUUUUGACGAACAACAGCCCCAAUGUAGCUUACAAACAUGGAGCUGUUGGGGUCAACUGGCUGACCACUCUCGUUCCAGCCAACCUAAUAAACUCAUAUAGUAAGUACAUGCCCUAAACCCUAAAAAAAGAUAAAAAAACACACAGCAAACAGAGUAUAUAUAGUAUACCUCAAAUUUAAUGCCACUGCUCCGUGCUUUAAUCACCCUUUGCAUGAUAGUUGCACCACGUUUGACUUCUUUUUCGUAAGUCUUAGAGGUGCCAACUUCUUCAUUUUGAACUUCUAAAUCUUUGUUUGUAUCCAUUUAACUACAACAAGUUCAACAUGCACUUUAGUAUAACAUCAACAAGCUCAACAUGGAUCAUGCAUUAUUAUAAACAAACUCAACAUGUAUCAGUAUAUCUUAAAAAAGCUCAACAUGCAUUCUAAUGAUUACAAAAAUUUAAUAACAUCAAUACCUGAAUAAUGAUGGUUCGAAGAAAGACGAAAUGCAAAGAAAAGAGGGUUUGCAGAAAGUUCACAGAAAUAUGGUUCACAGAAAUACGGUUUGAAGAAAUACGUAAUGAGGGUUACGUAUUUCAAUGAAAAUAUAUUGUGUGAAAUGGGAGAGAUGAUCUUGGAUGGAAAUAAGGUUCGAAAUGAAGGAGAUGAUCGUGGAAAUAAGGUUCGUAAAGGACGGGAUGAUAGGGUUUGCAAAAGAAGAGAAGAAAUGAAGGUUGAGAUGAAGGUUACGUAAUGAAGAGGAAACUGAAGAGGUAACUGUUAUAUAUACGUAACACUUUUACAGCGCUUUUUAUAAGCCUUUUACAGCGCUUAUUUUGUAAAGCGCUCUAAAAGGCUUCUUUAGUUAAAUUUUUAAAAGGCUCUUUUACAGCGCUUUUUUCAAAUAAGCGCUGUAAAAGACCUCCGUGUGUUAUUAUGUUAUUUGAAUGCCUUUUACAGCGCUUUUUUCAAAUAAGCGCUGUAAAAGACCUCCGUGUGUUAUUAUGUUAUUUGAAUGCCUUUUACAGCGCUUUUUUCAAAUAAGCGCUGUAAAAGACCUCCGUGUGUUAUUAUGUUAUAUGAAUGCCUUUUACAGCGCUUUCACACAUAAGCGCUCUAAAAGGCUUCUUUAGUUAAAUUUUUAAAAGGCUCUUUUACAGCGCUUUUUUCAAAUAAGCGCUGUAAAAGACCUCCGUGUGUUAUUAUGUUAUAUGAAUGCCUUUUACAGCGCUUUCACACAUAAGCGCUCUAAAAGGCUUCUUUAGUUAAAUUUUUAAAAGGCUCUUUUACAGCGCUUUUUUCAAAUAAGCGCUGUAAAAGACCUCCGUGUGUUAUUAUGUUAUUUGAAUGCCUUUUACAGCGCUUUUACACAUAAGCGCUCUAAAAUGUCUCUUUAUGUUAAUUUUAAGAGGCUCUUUUACAGCGCUUUUCCCAAAUAAGCGCUGUAAAAGACCUCCGUGUGUUAUUAUGUUAUAUGAAUGUUUUUUAAAGCCUUUUACAGCGCUUUUCCACAUAAGCGCUCUAAAAUGUCUCUUUAUGUUAAUUUUAAAAGGCUCUUUUACAGCGCUUUUUCCAAAUAAGCGCUGUAAAAGGCCUUAUUGUUUUUGUGUUUUGUUAUGUUAUGUUAUUUUUUAAACAAGCUCAACAUGCAUGCAAAACCCACAUAGUAGUAACUGGUCACCACAAAAAUCCCUUCCUCUUCACCAAACUCUUCUCCUUUUAUGCAUCUUCUUCACAAACAUCAAAGCUUACUCUUUCACAAUUCAAUCUCCACCUCAACACCCUUUUUAUCUCUUUACAUUCUCUUUCCUUCUUAAAUCGAAACUUAAUUGGUAUUCAGGAUCAUUGCCAUGUUGCGAAAAAUGGGUUUGUGUCUGGUGUUUUUGGGGAUUCCCAUGAUGCGUACAAGGUGUUUGAAGAAAUGGGUUUGUGUCUGAUGUUUUUUGGAUUCCCAUGAUGCGUACAAGGUGUUUGAAGAAAUGGGUUUGUGUCUGAUGUUUUUUGGAUUCCCAUGAUGCGUACAAGGUGUUUGAAGAAAUUAGGUGUCUGAUGAAUAUUAUUUUUAAAGCUUUUUUACAGCGCUUUGUCAAAUAAGCGCUGUAAAAUGUCUUUUUUACUCACUUUCAAAAGAGUCGUUUACAGCGCUUUGUGUGAAAAGCGCUGUAAAAGGUAUAAAACACUCAUUAUUUUAUUUUUAAAAGGAUCUUUUACAGCGCUUUUUAAGAUAAGCGCUGUAAAAUGUCUCUUUAUUUUAUUUUUGUGUUUGGUUUAUUUGGGUUGGGAUGACAUUAAAAACAUUUUUAUCAUUGUUUAUUGGAUUAAAAAUAUUGUUAUCAUUGUCUUUAUCACAAUACUUUAGGAGAUGAUGAAUUAUUAGAAAUGAGUAUUCUGAAGAAUCUAUAUAUAUAUAUGCACUGAGCAAAAGAGAAUCUCUCUAUUCAGUUCAGUUCAGUUCAUGUAAAUUACUAAUUUAUAUUCAGUUCAGUUCAUGUAAAUCAAGCUAAAUAUAAAACACUCAUUGUUACAUGAACUUGGUAUAAAACACUCAAAUCAAGCUAAAUAUAAGCAGAAAAUAAAUUAAUCAGAAAAUAAAUUAAUCAGAACUUAGUAUAAAACACUCAAUUCAGAUUACAUGCAUAUUUACAAUAACACAGUUCAGAUUACAUGCAUAGCUUAUAUAAAACAAUUAAACAUAUAUAUACAUUAAGAUGCCCUUCUUCUUUUCCUGGUGACAUUCACAUUUGUUUGUCCAUUUACAAUACGAAACGAUGGAUUAAUCCAAAUUCCCUCAUCAUGAUCAUCUCUAAGAUAUAAACCAUCAUCAGUUGAAUCAAUUUCAUGUGGUUGUUGUGAUGUUGCAAAUAAAAGAUCAUUACCAACAUCUUCAUCAUUAUUGUUAUCAUCACUUAUUUUAUUGGUCGAUAGGACAACAGACCAUUUAUCAUUAGAAGGAUCAGUGACAUAAAACACUUGUUGAGCUUGCGACGCUAAAAUAAAAGGCUCGUCUUUGUAUCCCACCCUAUUAAAAUCGACAAGCAAGAAUCCUGACUCAUCAAUCCGAACGCCAUUAUUAUUAUCGACCCACUUGCAACCAAAUAUGGGAACACGAAACAUUGUGUAGUCUAACUCCCAUAUGCGCUCGAUAACCCCAAAAUAUGAUAGAUUUGCAUAUAUUGGGUUUUUGUCUUUUGCACUUGAGACAUGCAUCGCUUCAGCUACGAGAGUGACUCCACUAUUUUGCAUAGUGGUCUGAUCAUCUUGUUCUUUGGUAUAAAAUGUGUAGCCGUUAAUAACAUAACCAGUGUAAGAAAAGACAUGUAAGCUCGGACCAUUUGCUAGCCACCUCAAUCUAUUUGAAAUUGAUCCGGGGUCUAUAUCAAAUUUUGACAUUAUGUGAUUUUUUAACCAUGUUACAAAACUUCGAUUGUGCUCUCGAGUUAUCCAAUUUUGAUUCCUAUUCAUGUUCAAACGAGAUAACUGAUCAAUGUGUAUUGUAACAUACGGUUGAACCUCAUCAUCAUUGUGCAGAACAUACAAUUGUGCCUGCUCCCAUUCUGUCCUUGAUAUAGUCAGUAGUCUCCUUCCAGUUAUCCCUUCUCCUGAUAGUCUUCCCGAAUGACGAGACAUGGGAAGCCCUAUGGAUUCAACAUUGGACAGAUAUUCAGUACAAAAUUCAGCAGCCUCUUCAACAAUGUAUCGUUCAGCAAUACAACCUUCUGGUCGACUUCUACUUUUUACGUACCCUUUUAAUAUUUUCAUAUAUCGUUCUAUCGGAUACAUCCAUCUCAUAUAAGCUGGCCCACAAAGUUGUGUCUCCUUAACCAGAUGAACAGUAAGGUGAACCAUUAUAUCAAAAAACGAUGGUGGGAAAUACAUUUCAAGCUCACACAAAGUAACAACAAUUUCCCUCUGCAAUGUCGGUAAUUUCUGAGGGUCGAUCACUUUACUACAAAUUUCCCUGAAGAAGAAACAUAAUCUAGUUAAGGCUAGUCGAACUUUUUCAGGUAAAAUGGAACGUAUACCUAUUGGUAGCAAAUGCUCCAUUAUAAUAUGACAAUCAUGGGUCUUCAAACCUUUUAACUUGAGGUCUUUCAUACAAACCAAAUUUUUAAUGUUCGAAGAGUAUCCUUCUGGAACUUUAACUUCGUGUAGAAAUUUACAUAAAACAAUUUUUUCCUUUCUAGAUAGAGUAUGAGCGGCUGGAGGUAGAUAUGUGCGAUUUCCUUUCUUUACUGGAGCCAGUUCAUUUCUUAUUCCCAUAUCGACCAAGUCCAAUCUUGCAUUGACGCCAUCUUUAGACUUUCCUGGAACAUUGAGUAACGUACCAAUAACACUUUCAAAUACAUUUUUCUCAAUAUGCAUCACAUCGAGGAAAUGUCUUACAUACAAUGACUUCCAAUAUGGCAAUUCAAAGAAAAUUGACUUUUUCUUCCACCCAGUUUUCACCAGCUCUCCCGCAAAAGGUUUGCCAAAUUUAUUGGUCAAACCUUGUACUUUUUCAAGUAUUUGAUAUCCAGUCGGUGCUAAAGGAGCUUUACCUUCCUCUGAUUUUCCAUUGAAUGCAUUUCUCCACCCACGAUACUGAUGACUAUAAGGUAAAAAUCUACGAUGUCCAAGAAACACAUUCUUCUUACAAUGUUUCAACCGCAUCCAAUUUGUACUCUCUUCACAUAUAGGACAUGCACACUGACCUUUAAUGCUAUAUCCUGAUAAAUUACCAUAUGCUGGAAAAUCAUUAAUUGUGCCGAACAACAUAGCCCUCAAAUUGAAACAUUCUUUCUUAUACCCAUCAUAAACUUCCACACCUGUCUCCCACAUACUUUUUAAAUUUUCGAUUAGAGGAGUCAAGUAUACGUCGAUAUCAUUCCCCGGUUGUUUGGGUCCAGAAAUUAACAGAGACAACAUCAUAAACUUACGCUUCAUACAUAACCAUGGAGGUAGGUUAUAUAUUACCAAAAUCACAGGCCACGUGCUAUGUGAGAUGCUUUGAAGACCAUGUGGAUUCAUUCCAUCAGUAGAAAGUGCAAGUCUUAGAUUUCUUGACUCUAUCCCGAAUUCAGGAUACUCGUGAUCAAUUUUUGCCCAUUGUGGGGAAUCUGCAGGGUGUCGAAACAUUCCAUCUCUAAUUCUUUCAUCUGCAUGCCAUGUCAAGUGUUUUGAAUCUUCUUCACUGCGAUACAUGCGCCUAAAUCUUGGUAUUAUAGGAAAAUACCACACGACUUUUGCUGGAGUAGAUUCUUUCUUCUUAUAUCGAGAGACAUUGCAUUUCGGACACGCCUUAAGUAGUUCAUAUUCGUUUCGAAAUAAAAUGCAAUCGUUAGGACACGCAUGAAUCCUUUCGUAACUCAUUCCAAUAGAACACAAAAUCCGUUUAGCCUCGUAGGUUCGACUGGGAAGUUCAUUAUCAUCUGGCAACAUAUCUUUUAUGAGUGUUAAUAAUUCUGUAAAGCUUUUAUCAGACCAUCCAUUACUCGCUUUUAAGUUGUACAACUUUAAUAUCGCUGACAGUCUUGUGAAUUUAGUACAACCAUUAUAUAAUUCUUUCUCUGCAUCACUCAACAAACUUUCAAACAUUUUAGGACAAUCUCGAAGAUCUUCUUCAACUGCUUUUGCAAUCUCAUCAACUCGGUCCGGCUCAUAUGUAUCUGUAUCGAAAUCAGUUGAAGCAUAUGUAGAACUAUUCUCAAAAUUAAUGUUUCCUUUUUUUUUCUCACCAUGUCUUAUCCAACAUGUGUAGCUUUGAUCAAUUCCAUUACAUACUAGAUGUCCUUCUAAUUCAUCUUCUCUAACACGUUUUCCAAAACAACAUUUUAAACAAGGACAAACUACUCUAUUUGGAUCUUUUGCAUUCUUCACUGCAAACUCAACAAACUCCUUCACUCCAAUUUCAUACUCUUUUGACAAUCGAUUGGCUGAAAUCCAUUUCCUAUCCAUAUUAUACCACCUAUAUAAAUGCAGUAACAAAAAUAAUAAGCUUUCAAAACAUAUCAACAAGUUUCAAAAAGAAACCAAUAUCAACUAAAAAUUUCAAAACAGAACAGAUCAUGUGGUAUGAGUUUUUGACAAUUUUUGACAAUUUCAAAACAUAACAGAUCAUGUGUAAAAAAUACCUUAUACAACGUAGAUGGCCGCACAGUACGUAGAGGAUAUUAGGGUUCCCAACGUAUAUAAUUAUUUGAAAGAUGUAGAGGAUAUGAGGGUUUCCAACGUAUAUAAUUAUUUGAAAGAUGUAUUUUACAGCGCUUGUUCCAACGUAUAUAAUUAUUUGAAAGAUGUAGAGGAUAUGAGGGUUUCCAACGUAUAUAAUUAUUUGAAAGAUGUAGAGGAUAUGAGGGUUUCCAACGUAUAUAAUUAUUUGAAAGAUGUAGAGGAUAUGAGGGUUUCCAACGUAUAUAAUUAUUUGAAAGAUGUAUUUUACAGCGCUUGUGAAAAAAGCGCUAUAAUAGGUAGUUAAAUUCAAUGAAAGCGCAUGUAUUUUACAGCGCUUGUGAAAAAAACGCUGUAAUAGGUAGUUAAAUUCAAUGAAAGCGCAUGUAUUUUACAGCGCUUGUGAAAAAAACGCUGUAAUAGGUAGUUAAAUUCAAUGAAAGCGCAUGUAUUUUACAGCGCUUGUGAAAAAAACGCUGUAAUAGGUAGUUAAAUUCAAUGAAAGCGCAUGUAUUUUACAGCGCUUGUGAAACAAGCGCUGUAAUAGGUAGUUAAAUUCAAUGAAAGCGCAUGUAUUUUACAGCGCUUGUGAAACAAGCGCUGUAAUAGGUAGUUAAAUUCAAUGAAAGCGCAUGUAUUUUACAGCGCUUGUGAAACAAGCGCUGUAAUAGGUAGUUAAAUUCAAUGAAAGCGCAUGUAUUUUACAGCGCUUGUGAAAAAAGCGCUGUAAUAGGUAGUUAAAUUCAAUGAAAGCGCAUGUAUUUUACAGCGCUUGUGAAAAAAGCGCUGUAAUAAGUAGUUAAAUUCAAUGAAAGCGCAUGUAUUUUACAGCGCUUGUGAAAAAAGCGCUGUAACUGAUUCGCGAAAGCGCUUCCUUUUACAGCGCUUUUUUGACAAGCGCUGUAAAAGCCUUAUAACGUGAUGCGCAAACGUUAUAUGACCUACUACAGCGCUUGUUUUACUGUGCUUUGCAUCAAAAGCGCUGUAAUAGGUUCCGUUAUUUUUAAAAUAUAAUUACAACAGCGCUUGUGUUUAGCAAGCGCUGUAAAAUGGGCGCUGUUAAAUGUCAUUUUUGGCGUAGUGCGUUAUAAGAUACAAAAAUCCAUAAAAUCUUCUGAGUUGAGAACCCCAAAAAUAAAAAUGAUAACCAAAAUUAGCAUUUGUUUGCCUUAAUUCAAGGCCAAGAAGCUAAUUUAACCUAUUCAAAUUUAUUAUCAAAUAAUAUACGUUAAAAAAGUUCUAAUAUAUUUUUAUUAAAUAUUAUUCUUGUUAAAGUUGUUCUCAUAUUUCUAAUUUAUUUAAUAGUUAAGAGAAUUUUCGGUGCUUACAUCAUAUAUUGUUUGUGUAAUAUAAAAUAUUAUAUCUCUAUCAGAAUAUUGAUGAUAUUCUCUCUACCAUAUAUGUAUUUUACAACUAAACUUUUCAUUUGAUUAAUGUGUUAAUCGUAAAUUAUAUUACCUUUUCAAAAGAAUUAUUGCGUUUGAUUGUCUUUAACAUAUGUACAUAUUACGUUAAAUUUUAAAUAUUAAUUUAUAUACAAUCUCAAUUUUAUAUCUAAUAUAAUAGUUGGAUGAUGAUUUUCAUUAGGAUACAAAAUUAAUUGAAAGUUAUUCUAUUAUAUUAUUGUGUAGUUUAUGCAAAAUAAAAUGCAGUAUAAUUAAAAUUUUAUAUAUUAUUUAUUUUAUAAUUUUUCUCAAAAUUCAUGUCAUAAGAAGAAGAAGCUAGAGUGACAUCCAUGUGAGUAGUGUUAGUGUGACGAUGGAGAAUCUUAUCAUUAUCAAUAUGAAACUCUCUUUUUCUUCAUUUGAUUAUUAAAUCUUUAUUUUGGUGUAAAUUUACUUUGAUAUUGAAAUGGCAAUAGGAGACUUCUUUCUUCAUUUGAUUAUGUACCUUGCUAUGUCAUAAGGAUUGUUGAAGCACUCUAGACAAUGGCAAUAUUAUGAGUCUUUUUGUAUGUUGCUGAGUGAGUAUUGCAUUUCAAAAGCAAACCCAUAGAUUAGUGAGUGAGUGACUGAGUGGAACACAGUGUGCUUGCAGCAAUGCUUUUACUUCAAUUAGUAUAAUAAUCAAAGUGUUAAAGCUUCAUCUCUCUCAACAAUGGCAAAAGAAAAGAAGAAUGUGUGAGGAGUAAAAUGCAUAUAAUCGAACAUCAUGCAUAUGAGUUCGGAAUCAGUACACUUGCUUAAUGUAAGGUUAAUUCCUUUAAAUACUUUUUCAGGUAAAGACAUAUACUUUGCCAUAUGAUAACUUUUUUUUUCCUUCUUGUGAAUCUAUAAUAGUAUUAACAUUCUCCACCAAUAUUUGUACUUUGUAUAUAUUACUAAUUAGAAUUCACUAUUUACUUCACUUGCUUUCAUUUUUCUGACACAAUAUAUUUGUCGAAAAACACAAUGCAAUGACUAUGCUCUCUCCUUUAAAAAAAAAAAUAUUAAGAAUGGUUGUGCCACGAAAUUAAUAAAUAUGGUUUCUAUCUUGUUUAUGGUUGUGUUAACUAUCACCUCACUCCUAUUUUUUUUUCACCAUUCUUGUAUAGUUGUAAUUGAUCUGCUUUAUUGAGUCACUAAGCUUAAAGUAUUGUACUACUUCUUUUUGUGUAUUCAACCACAAAUUAGAUAAAGUAAAAAAAAAUAGCUUAUUGGGCAAGUAGCUAGAGAUUAAUUUCAUUUUCUUUUUGCUUAUUCAUUUGCUAUUCAACCAUAAAUUAGAUUAAAGGAAUCUUUCAUUUAGACAUACUAUAAUUUGAAUGGUUCCAAAUAAUGUAUAUCAUCUAAAAACAACAAAAGUUAAGAGUGGGCUACCAUAGAGAAAAGAGAAGAUUAAAAUAGGAACAUGAAUAUAUUCAUGUGUGUGUGUAAUAACUUAUUACAAUCUCCUCAUACUUAUUUGGCCUAAAUAAUUUACCAAGUACCAAUUAUGUUAUCUUUGUUUAUUACAAAUGGUUCCACACAAAUACACUAUCAUUCUGACUUAUUUCUUUCUUUAUCCUUUAUGUGUCAUAUAUAACUACUAACAAAAUGGUAAUUAAUAAAAAAAAUAGGGGUAAGAUAAUAGAUGGAGAAUAUUCUCACAGAUCCCUUUCUUUCACAAGUUAACAAAAUUUCUUUGUUAGCAUCGAUUUAAGAGACACCAAUGCAUUUUGUUAGUUAGAAACAAUGUUAUAUGAACAAGUUCAAUGUUUAUUUCUUAGAUUAGUAACUAGUGAAACACCAUAUACGUGAAGAGAAGAGAAUGUUAAAAUAAGAAUCUUGAUACCAUAAUAUAUUAAUUAACACAGUUUUUUACCUUGGUGACUAGGAAACACAUAAGAGCAUGCAUGGUGGGUUCGAUGUUGCUAAAAAUGUGAGUUCUAAAGAAAAAAAAAAGAAUUAAAAAGCACAAAUAAAAAGCAUGCAACAACAUGAAUUAAAAAACAAAAGUAAUUAGAGAAUGCAACAAUUCAACAAAGACUAUUCUCACAAAUCUCUUUCUUUUGCAACUCAACCAAAUUUCUUUGUUGGCCUCCAAUUAAGAGACACCAAUGCACUUUUUUUUAUUUAAUAAAUUGACGAACUAGCAUGUAAGAUUUAAUUUUUAUUUUUAUCCUUGUACUUAAAAUUCAUAUCUUUAUUAGCUUUUGUGUGGUCUGUGAGUCACCGCCAUAAUCUUCAUACAUUACUCUUUUAGUUGAGGUUGGGUUUUUAGUUGGGUUGGAUAAAUUAAUGAAUCAAAUUUAGUCUUUUUGUUUGGUUGAGCUAGUUAAACAACUGACAAAAAAAUUGUCAACUAAAGUUUGAAUUAAUUUAAAAAAUAGCAAUUUAGCAAAAGUUUAAUUGUAGUUUUGAUCUUUUAAUUUAUUUUAUUAAUUCUUUGACUUGAUCUCCGUAUUUUAAAAUCCGACAAUUUUAGUUUAUCUAUCAAAAUUUUCAACUAAAAAAAUGACGUGACAUAUUUUAAAGGAUUGACUUAUAAUACAAUGAUUUUGACUGAUUAAUACCCAUAAAAUUGAAAUAAAAUAUUCCAAAAGCUUUAGUUUCAACUUCAACAAUGAUUUAUUUGUAUAAUUAAAUUAAUAACAUAUGAAUAAUUAAUCUAUCAAGAUGGUUGUAAAUAAUAGCAUCAUAUAUCAUGUCAUUUAAAAGAUGUUAAAUCAUCAUUUUAUUAGUUAAAAAAUCUGAAGGAUAGACCAAAAUUGUCGCUUUAAAAAAUAGGAGGAUCAAUUCUAAUAAUUGGUAAAAAUAGAUAGACCAAAAUUGUAGUAUACUAUUUUUUAAUCUAGUAUGACAAUCCAACUUGCCUCGCCUCGUGAUCCUCUAUUUUUUUUUAUAGAUUAAACGAGGUGGCCCGACAUAGGUAUAUCAGUUAUAUGCGGUGCAUACUCCACAAUUUAAAGGAUUUCUUUUUAGAUUGCUUGCAAAAUGGUUCGGCAUGUGGUUAAUUUGUUUGGAUCCCAUUUUACAGGGCAUGUGUCUUUCACGAAGUUGGAGUUAUAGAUUCUUCUGACUGAUUGGGUUCAUGGUCGACCCCGUACAACUAUCAUUCAAGUUUAUUGGUCUUCAACUCUUUCUAAUUUGAUAAAGUGUAAUAUUGAUGGCGCAACCAGAUACACACCUAAUGAUGUUGGUGGCGAAAGGUAUUUUCGAAAAUAGCAUAACUACUUUACUUUUAUUGGUAGUUUUGAGAUGAAGUUUGUCAUCACUAUUACUUUUCAUAUAGAGUUGUUAGUGGAUAUGUUUUAUAUGUAAAAUUCUUAUUCAUGAGGUUAACUUUGUCUUUGAUUAGAAAAAAACUAUUUGGUUGUAGUUGGCUCUUUAAAGGAUCAUAGUUGGAUCCUUUGACACUUAUAUAUGAUCAGGUGGAAAAAUUAUUAUUUCUUUAGAGAUGUAUGAAUUUUAUGAUUUGUCUCAUAUUUAUCAAAAAAACAAUUGUGUGGAUAAAUUAGUAAAUCAUGAAAAUACUGCUUCAACUUUACAUCUAUGGGAUUAUUUAAUUUAUAUGCGUUCAUUAGGGGAUACUUAUUUUAUAAUAGAUUUUGUUUUCUGGCGAUCGUUUCUAUUGAUAUAUAUUUAUUUUGUUUUGAAUUUUAGUUUUUGUUUGCAUUGUACUUUUUUUUUCUUUCACUAUGGUUUUAUCUCAAUGACUUAUUCAAAUAAAUUUUUUAAUGAAGGAAUUGAUUAACAUUUUAAAUGACUGUAUUCUUUAGAUUUGGUUUAGUCCCCAAUAUGUUUCCUUUUGUUUAUGUUUUAAUAAUAACUUUAAGUAAGUGCAAGUAAUUUUUUUUAAAGGGUUAUGAUCUUGUAAAAAAUAGUUAAGAUAAUUUUUUUAACUCUAUGGUUCUUAGAGAAAAGAGUUCUAGUAAUAUAGAGUUCGACUGAUAUGUAAGUAAAAUCUGAUCAAUAGUUGUUUUAGUUAGAAUUUGAAUUCAAGUUCUUCUAAACAAUAUUCACUACUAGAAAAUCUACUUUUAGCGUCGGCCGGAAACCCACGCUAAAUGACAAAAAGCCGACGCUAAUGGCGAUUUAGCGUCGGAUUAGCGUCGGUGUCGAGCCUAGGCUAAAACGGUCGAAGCUAAUGGGGUAGCGUCGGCUGAACCCACGCUACGCCGACGCUACUAACAAUUACAAAACAUUCGACGCUAGUUAUAUCCUUGACACGUCAUUUGUUAAAAUUCAGUUGUGUCGGAUGGACGACGCUAGAGUUCACUAAAUUUUAAUACUGUAGCGUCGGUCUUGCCGACGCUAGUGGACCAAAAUGGAAAUUUGUGGAAGUCUGGCAACACGAUUAGGGUCGUUCCAGAUAUGACACAAUUAAAAAUUUCAAUCUUUAUCCUAAUGCAACAUGAAACUUUUCAAAACUAAAUUUGACAAAGGUUGAUAGAGGCUGUUGCAGUUUCUAUAAAAUUAACUCAAUAAAAAAUUCACUUGUAACCAAUCAUAUGUUUUGAAUUCAUCUAAUAAAUUGAAAAGGAAAAAUAUAUAAGAAUCAUGCAUACCCUUAAACCAACCAUAGUUGUUCCAUAGUCUAUAGAUCAAUGGUGCAUUCAAUUAGUCAAUACCAACAAAAUAUGUAAAAAAAAAUCAUAAACACAUCACUAAAAACAUUAUUGGUAAAAAACUAAACAAUAUAUCACCUUUAAUAUUUUGUCCACAUGCUUUUGCAAUACCACAACUUAGUGGAUACAAAAUAUCAUCUAAAUCUGCAAAACAAUAUCAUAAUUACAAUCAUAAACUAUAUGAAAUUUCCAAUUAUGAAAUUAAAUUAAUACAUGAAUUUUGUGACUAAUUAAAAGACUCACCAAAAAGAAGACAGUCAUAUUUUUGUCUAUGAGCUUGUCUGAAUCUGUUCUCAUACUCCAUUUCAAGCAGAAAAUCUUAUAAUAAAAAAAAAUUAAGUGAACACUACUUUACAUGUCAUGAGAAAGAAAAAAAUAUGGACCUUUAGAUCAUGGGUACACCAUCCUCAGCAACCUGGAAUAUUUAAUAAGAAUAUCAUAUAGAGAAAAGCUAAUUAAACUAAAUAAAUGAUUGAACUAUAACAUGAGUAAUUAGUAAACCUCUAAGUCAACAGAAAUAGCAUGAGUAAUUAGCAAACCUCUAAGUCAACAGAAAGCACAUCAAUUAAUUUAUAACCACCAAUCCAAACAAGUUGAGUUCCCUUGGGCCACACUAAAAUGCCAUUGUUACGCAUUCGCCAAAUCUUUGUGAAUGGGGUAGAUGGAGCCAUCAUUGUACCAUCCAAGACAUUGAUAUCCAAAAUGAACCAACUAUCUUGCUUUGGCCUUGCAUGCUUCAAAAGAGCACUUGUAUUAAAAAUAUGUGGUGUGAUCUUUGAAUGCCUCUGCAACAUAAAAGAAAAAAGGUAUAAAAGAAUUGAGUUCAAGUGAGGUUACAAAUUCUUCAGCAUUCUGAUAUGAACAUCUUAGAGCCUGAGAAGAUGUGGGAUGGUCCAUGUUGAUAUAAUCAGUCUGAUUACCAAUUUCACCUAUUGAAGAUAAACUAAAAUUAAAACUUUUUCGCACUAGCAUAUUAGUAAACUAUGGUUAAUUGCAAAAUACAAUUACAAAUAUAUAAGAGUAAAUAUUUAAUGAAACCACACCUCAGUUACAAGAGAACAUUCUCCGCAUUAUAAACAUAUUUCCAUGGAAAAGCCAACAUCAAUAUUUCAAAAUAGAUACUAUAACAGAAACAUGAUUAUUUUCAGCAAAUAACAAUUACUAAGUGAAUUUACAUUACCUGCAUCUAGAAAUAGAUGUACAAAAGUUAUUAUCUAAUGUAAUCACCAUGCACCAGUUACACGAGAACAUUGUGCUGGAUACGCAGGUGCCGAAAACCACNNNNNNNNNNNNNNNNNNNNNNNNNNNNNNNNNNNNNNNNNNNNNNNNNNNNNNAUACUCACCUGUUUAUGAGUUUCCAAGAAAACAUACAACAAUCUAUUACAAGACGCUCGAACCUUAACUCGAUCAUUCAAGAAAUUGAGCGAAAAUUGAAAGACACCCCUUAAAUUAUUAACACAUAUUCAGCUAGAUUUGGACUCUGAUAACAAAUCUGAAAUCUCAGGUUCUUCCUAGAAAUAUCAUUGUAUAAUAUUGAAUGAAAAUUAUCCAAACUCAACCUAUACCACAAUUUACACACAGUUUUGAUCCUAAAAAGGGAUUUCACUGGUAACCUAGCAAGAAUCUGAAUAACAACCUCAUAUGCAAAAAUCCCAUCUCCUAAUUUAAAAUCCAAAACUAUAUACAAAUUAUUUUAAUAACAAAUUAAAAAAAUUUUAAAAAUUUGGGUUGCGAAAAAACAAGAUAAAGAUUUCAACUUUGCUUACCAGAACAAAAUUGGGGGUAUGCGAUGAAACUGAAAUUGCUGGAAUAAUGAGAAAGUUGAAAAUGAUAAUGAAAUAAACUAGAAGACACAUAGAUGAAUAGAGAAGAAUGGUGGUGGUGGUGGUUGGUUUGUGGCGGUGGUUGGUCAGAAUCGAGAGUGAAGGAGAAGAAACUGAGAACGAAGGAAAGCAAAAGAGAGGGUUUUUUGGUGAGUGAAGGAAAGACGAAAGGCGGCGUGAUGGCGAAGUGGCGGCGUGAUAGCUAUCGUUGAGAUGCAAUGGUGCGGCGUGAUGGUUUGUGUGCCCGUUGAAGUUUGGUAAAGGCAAGAUUGAAAAACUAAGGUGUGAUUAGGUUUGGGGAACUUUUAUAUUUUCCUAUUUUACUUUUCAUGUAUGUUAAAAAAUUGAACAAUUUUAAUGGGUAUUAACAAAAUCAGUUAAUUUUACUCUACUUUUCUACAAUUGACAUAAAAAAUUUAUUUUUUUAAUAAUUUUAUGUUACAUUUAAGAAUUAAUAUAUUUUGAUAUUAUUAAAUUAAAUUAUUCAUAAUUAAUUAACAUAUAGUUUACAAAUGAGUUUGACUAUAUUUUAGAUUUGUUAUCAUUAAUUUUUUAAGUUUUCAUCAAUUUAGAAUAAUUUUUAAAUAAAGUUUUUUGUUAUGAUUCUUGUAAAAAUUAAUAUUAAUAUUAAAAUUUUAAUUACAAAAAUAAUUUAUCAAAUUAUUUGAGUCAAAAUUGAAUAGAUAAAUAUAUCAAAACAUUUAAUUUAAUUAAUUAAAUAAUUACUAUAACAAUACGCACAUAGAUAAAUAAAUAAAAAUGAUCGGUCAAAAUAUUGGUAGUAUUUAUAACUUGUCUUACUUUUUUAUUUUGUUUAAAACACAAUUAUAUUUUAUUUAUAUAAAAAUAAACAAAAAAAAUUAUAUAAAUCACAAAAACAAAAUAGUUGAAUAAAAAGGAGCAAAUGAUCGGAAAAAUAAACAUACAAAAUUUUUAUUGAAAAAUAAAUAAAACUCACAAAUCAGGAAUGUAGCGUCGGUUGUGCCGACGCUAUAAGGGUAAUUAAAGUUUAAAAAUAAAGUAGCGUCUGUCAUACUUUCGGUAGCGUCGGCUGGGCCGCCGCUAAUAAUUAAUAAAAACAUAAAAAGGAAUUUGGUGAGUUAGCGUGCGCUGAGCCGACCCUAAAUAUGGCAGCUAAAACCAGUUUUUCUAGUAGUGAUUGUAGAUUAAGUAGUUAUAAUAUUAUAUGCAUAUCCAUAGACAUAUAGUAGUUGGUGAAAUUAAUGUAGAAUAAAAAAUCAUUCUUUAUGGGUAUUAUUUUAAAUUUGUGCUUUAUAAAAAACUAAGAUGUUAAAAGUCAGUCAACUUAAGUAAAAAUAGAUAAAAGGGUAAAAAGAUAUUAAGGUUUGAACAUCAUUAAUGUCUAACUAUUUCAAUUUUAAUAUUUUAAAUAUUCUCUCUAUGUCUAUAAAUAAGUGCAUAUUGCUUUAACAUAUAUAUUACUCAAUAAGAUUUUUAUAAAAAAUAAUUAUUCUCUAUAAAAUAUUUUGUUUUUCAUUGCAAACCGAGUUUGGUUACUAUGGAAAUUUUGUCAAAGAUAUGUUGUAUGUUUGUGUUAUUUUUUUCUAUUAUAGGUUCUGUAGUUGGCUAUGGACAUGGUUUUCCACCUUGUUGAGAAAUGUUAAGACCAUGUGAUCCGAUUUUUUGUGAUAGACCUCCAUGUUGCCUCCCUCUAUCUAGUGAUGUUAGUGAUGUUAAACCCUAAAACUAUGCAACUCUACACCAAUUAUUUGUAUUUGAGAAAUAUCAUCUCAUAGAUAUUAUAAUUGCAUUAAUAAGAUUGGUUUAUAAAUUAUAUUUCUUUAUUCUCUUCGAUUAUAGUAUUCUUUAUAAGAUAUUUGAAGUAGUGUUUGAGCUUAUAACAUUUAUUUUUUCUUUUAUUUUUAUUCUAAUUGUCUUUGCAGCCAAACUAAAAUAACUAAAAGUUCACAUAAAACAGUAGUUAGAGAAUGUGAACCUUUAGACUUAAUACACUCUGAUAUAUGUGAACUUGAUGAGACAUUAACCAGAAAUAGAAAACGUUAUUUCAUCACUUUUAUUGACGAUUGCUCUUAUUACACUUUUGUAUAACUAAUGAAAAAUAAAAGUGAAGCGCUUGACAUGUUUAAGAUCUUUGUAACUGAAAUUGAAAAUCAAUUUAGUAAAAAAAUUGAGAGGUUUCGUAGUGAUAGAGGAACAUAGUAUGAUUCUAGUUUAUAUAAUGAAUUUUAUAAAACCCAAGGAAUUAUACAUGAAACUAUUGCUCCAUAUUCACUUGAAAUUAAUGGUAAAGCUGAAAGAAAGAAUAGAACUCUUACUGAACUAGUUGUUGCCAUUAUGCUUAACUCUGGUGCUGCAUUUCACUGGUAGGGAGAAAUUAUUUUGACUGUUUACUAUAUUUUGAAUAGAAUACCUAAAUCUAAAAACAAAACAUCUCCUUAUGAGAUAAUGAAGAAAAGACAACCUAACUUGUCUUAUCUUCGAACAUGGGGUUGUCUGGCUUAUGUCAGAAUCCCCGAUCCCAAGUGAAUUAAUCUUGCUAGUAGAUCAUAUGAAUGUGUAUUCAUUGGGUAUGCAGUAAACAGUAAAGCGUAUAGAUUCUAUGACCUAAAUGCUAAAGUGAUCAUAGAAUCAAAUAAUGUUGACUUCUAUGAAAAUAAAUUCCCUUUCAAAUCAAGAAAUAGUGGAGGCAGCGAACCUAGUCAAGUUCCUGUGACAAGAAGCACUGAAAGCAACAACCAAGGCAUAAAAGAAAUUCGAACAAGUAAGAGAGUUAGAAUUGUCAAAUAUUAUGGACCCAAAUAUAUCGCUUAUAACUUAGAAGAAGUUCCUGCAAAUCUAAAAGAAGUUUUGUCAUCAUUGGAUGCAGAUUUAUGGCAAUAAGCUAUAAAUGAUGAAAUAGAUUCCCUAGAGUCUAACGAGACCUGACAUUUAGUAGACUUGCUUCCUAGUUGCAAACCAAUAGGUUGUAAAUGGAUAUUUAAAAAGAAACUAAAAUCUAAUGUAACUGUUGAUAAAUACAAGGCACACCUUGUAGCCAAAGGUUUUAGACAAAUAAAAAAAUAUAGAUUUCUUCGAAACUUUUUCACCAGUCACUAGAAUAACAUCCAUAAGGGUGUUCAUAUGACUUGCGGCUAUUCAUAACCUGGUGAUACACCAGAUGGAUGUUAAAACAACUUUUUUAAAUGGUGACCUGGAAGAAGAAAUUUAUAUGGAACAACCUGAAGGUUUUGUAAUUCAUGGACAAGAAGACAAGGUCUGUAAGUUAGAUAAGUCUCUGUAUGGUCUUAAACAAGCUCCUAAGAAAUGACAUGAAAUUUUUGGAUAACUUGAUUAUAUCGAAUGAGUUUAAAGUGAAUGAAAGUGACAAAUGUAUUUAUUACAAAUUUGAAAAAUGGCAUUUGCAUUAUCAUAUGUCUAUAUGUAGACGACUUACUCAUAUUUGAUUCAAACAUUCAUGCUGUAAAUAAUGUGAAAUCUUUGUUGAGUAACAACUUUGAUAUGAAAGACCCCAGAGAAGUAAAUGUAAUCCUUGGAAUCAAAAUUACUAGGUUAGAAAACGGAAUUUCUUUGGAUCAAUCUCACUAUGUUUAAAAGAUCAUAAAGAAAUAUAAUUACUUUGACUAUAAACCUGUUUGCACACAAUAUGAUUCAAGUGUGAAACUUUUUAAGAACACAGGUGAAGGUGUUAGGCAAACUGAAUAAUCGAGCAUCAUUGGCAGCCUCAAGUAUGCCACUGAUUGUACUAGACCCGACAUUGCCUACGUCGUGAGAUUGUUGUGCAGGUUUACUAGUAGACCUAGUAUGGAGCAUUGACAUGCUAUCGAAAGAGUCAUGAGAUACCUUAAAAGGAAACUCAAGGAUUGCGUUUUACUAUUGAAUUAUAUUUAGUUACUAAAAUUGAACAAAAAGUUCCCAAGUUGAUUGAAAUAAUAUUUAAAAUUGACAACAGUAGUAAAAUUGAUACUUUAUAAAUUGAGAAAAAUGUUAGGGAUGAGUUUUACUUCGAAUCCAACCUUGGUGUCUAAUUUGAUCCUAGUUACUGAAUUUCUUUAUUGAAUUAUUACCGAAUACUCUUUAUUAUUUUUGCCCUAAUGUCUUAGUGACAGAACCUUUAAUUUCAAAGUAAUCCCUAAUUCCUUAGUAAAUUUAAUAUUAAAAUUAAAAAUUACCGUAUAGAAAUUCUCUUGUAAAUUAUUGCUUUGCAACUAAUUUAAUUGGUUUCAUGACCUACAUCUAUGUCUAGACUACAAAUUCAUGAAUUUCAUAUCUCAAGCAUUCGUAAAGUCCACUUUCUUUUCAAAAUAAAAAUCAUAGAACAUUUUAAUGUUGAUCAAGCAAUAAAAAGCAUUAAGCACAGAGAUGAGAAAAAUAAUUCAAUAAACUCAUUCAUAUAACUAGAAAUCAAAUCAUAAAAAUAAGGAUUUCAUCUUGUUACACUCAUCUCAAACAAAUAGGGUUUAGUUACUCAUGACAUAGAUAAAAAAGAUAGAGAUUAGAGAAGAAUUACAAGAAAGAUUCAUGAAUGAUUCUUGAUAAAACAGCUCCAAUGAUGUUAGAAACGGUCGUCUUUGAGUUUCUAUGCUAGGACACAAGUCUCCCAACUUCCCAAGAGUCCAAAAGAUCCCUAAAACAGUGAAAAAUUGUGUUUUUAUGAAUGCUGAUGCGCGUCACGCGCCCCAGGCGCAGGAAACGCGCUACAGGCGCGCCUGGACAGUGCUGAAUGGCUGGAAAUACGCCUCAAGCACGGCUGACGCGCUUCAGGCGCACAACAUCUGUUGUCUGACGUAUAUUGCUUGUUACCCCUCUUUUUGAGUUUGAAUAUGGUUUCAGUGUCUUCAUGAAAGUUGUAGCUAUGAAUCUUAGCUUUCAUUUGCACUUGGUGUGACUCCAAUUGAACAUCUAAAACUCCAUAUAUGGCUGAAAUACGCAGCAUAGGUCAUGUUGAUUUCUCACCAAAAUUCAACAAUGCACUAAAACAAAGUAACAACGCAAAACUAAGAAAAAUCUCUACUUAAUCAAGCAAAUAAGAACAUAAACAUUUCAUUAAAUCAUAGAACUAAAAUCAACAAAAUAUAUCAAAUAACUCCUUAAAUUAACUAAUGGUUAAAGAUAAAUAAGACUAAAAUCAAUGAAAAAUAUGCAUAUGAUGAAGAGUCAUCAUUGACUCCAAAGCAAACCAGUGGCUACAUUUUCUGUAUAGUCGGUGGUGCUGUAUCAUGGAAAUUGAAGAAACAGACGAUAUUGGCUUCAGUCCACUAUGGAGUCUGAAAUAAUAGCAGUAGCUAUUGCUAGUGAAGAAGCAAGCUGGUUCCGAUGCUUGCUAGCAGAGAUCCUCUUGUGGGAAAAACCUCUGCCAUUUGUGUUGAUCCAUUGCGUUAGUAUCACGACUAUUGCAAAAAUUGAAAAUCAUUAUUACAACGGUAAGAGACGACAAAUACGUCGUAAGCACACCACCGUUAGAGAAUUACUUUCUAAAGGAGCUGCUAUAGUGGAUCAUGUACCCACUGAUGAUAAUUUAGCAGAUCCUUUGAUGAAAUGAUUAAUUAGAUAGAAAGUACUAAAUACAUCCAAAAGGAUGGGACUAUUUCCUAUAGAUCAAUGAGUCACUUAUGACCUAAAAGACUGGAGAUCCCAAGAAUUUGAUUCAAUAGGUCAUAACAAGUCAUAGUGAUAAGAAAUGAACAUGUUAUAUUACAUAUGAAAAAAGCAUGAUUCCUAAAGCAAAAAAAGGAUGAGAUAAUAGAAACUCUUAAUGAGAACUAUACUCUAUGUGGAGUGGAAUACCUAGCUACAAGAGUACUCUUGAUAGACUCACCUAUGUGAAUGUGGAAGUGAGACCGCUUCCUAUGAAAUUUCGAGGCAUAAUUCCUAGAGCGUUCACUAUACUGGGAUAGACGUGCAUGACCAUAAAUGCACGUGCUUUUGAGAAUACACCCAAAUGAAAAGGUUGUGUGUGGGUUUGAUGUCAAAGAUAGAGUUCAUGACUACGAUUCACUCUUGUUGAAUCCGAAUCUUACUUGUUAUGCAAAGGUUCAAGUCAAUAGACACAUUUGUUUAUGCACAAUCUUAUAGAAGUGUUUGACUCUAUUUCAAAAACAUUCUUUUUAAAUUCAAGUGGGGGAUUGUUGGAAAUGAUGAUGAUUUUAAUGGAAGUUUGUUGGAAAUAAUGAUGACAUUAAUGAGAGCUAGUGUUGUUGUGAAUUGAAAAAUAAGAAAGUCCCACAUAUGAGGGAUAUCACACACUAGUAGGGUAUAUAAAGUGGAGGUAUGAUACUUGAGGUGUGCACCAAAGGGUACCCCAAUUUUGUAAAUGAGGGAGAAUGAAUGCAAAAUUGACCACCACACACGCGUGCGCGCCGAGUUGGGCCUUGGGCCUUGGCUUUGGCUACAUGGUGUAUUAUUUUUUAGCAUAUGAAAAUUAAUAAAUUAAUUAUUUAUUUAAUUAAAUGAAUGCUUGCAUUUUUAUCUCUAAUUGAUACAUUAAUUAUGUAAUUGCCCUCCAGCGAGUCAACAUUUAACAUUUGAUCCAGUCAGUUCCUUGCCCCCCGAUUUCGCGCUUCAGUUUUGUUGGUCAAAACCCUAAUCACUAGUCAUGCGCGUCUGUUAUUGUCUGAUCACAUUUUCGUGGUCAAACAAAUCGUGGCACACGUUUAUGUGGUCAAAUUUUAAUAUCAGAGCAUAAUUUUAGUGAGUCAUACCUAAUGGAUCACACAUUUCUCUCUGAUCCAUUUACGAAUUUCCUCUAUAAAUAUAGGGCUCUCCUCAGUUGAAAAAGCACAUCAAAAGCUCUCUGUACCUGAGGCUUUUCUCUUUUCUCACCUAUCUUACUCACUUCUUCUAUUUCUUUUGAUUGUUCUUAGUGCCAUAUUACGAGUGGUAGUCAUUCGACUGCCAUAUUAAGGGUAUAAUUCUAGAACGGUUUUCUACAAUGCAGUAGAACUUCAAUACAGUGAUAUGAGUUGUUUUAUUAUGAGGACUUCGUGGUUGGUAGUCUAACUUGCACAAUUUGGACAGUUCCUCGAAAAGUCUUAAAGAAAUUGACCUAGUCCGCGACUCAACCAAGUAAUAUUGUUGGUGGCAAAAAUUGAAAUUUUGUAUUAUUUAUUUUAUAAUUUCUCAUAAUUUUUUAUACGCAUGCCAACAUUUAUAAUAGUCUGCCUUCAUGAAGUCUUUUAUCUUAUUUCAUUGAGCCAACAUUUAUAAUUAUAAAUUUAUAAUAUUGUAUUUGUAGGCAUAGGUAAAUAUGUAAUAGGUAAAAGUAAUGAAGAGUGAAAAAUUAUCCAAAAUAAAUAUUUAUUUUAUAAUUUUAGCUUAAUAAAGUAAAAAGUAUUAGAAGUUAGUCAAAAGAUAAAAGAAAAAUACUUAAUAUAAUUAAACAAAUAAGGUUUGGACAUUAUUAAAGUCAAAGUAUUUUGGAUUAUGAUAUUUUGAAGAUUGUCUCUUUGCUUAUAAAUAAGUACAUACUGUUUAAUUGUAUGGUAAGAUACACAAUUUGCUUUUCUGUGAAGACCAAUCCUUGCUAUUAUGGAAAAUAUAUAUGUCAAAAAUGUUAAUGAAGUUAAUAGCGUUACUUUUAAUCAUUGCAGGUGCUAUGGUUGUUAAUGCAGAUAUACCACCAUGUUGUGAUUUUGGUGGUUCAAUGUGCGAACCAAUUGCAUGUAGUUCGUGGCCAUGUUGCCGUCGCCCUCCGUCUAGAGAUAUAAAGUCUUAAAACAAUUUCUAUCUCUUCUAUUUUAGCACCAAUCAUUUUGUAAUAAAUGAAGUCUAUAUCAUGUAAUAAUUGCAUCAAUAAGAUUGGUUAAUAAAAUAUCAUUUCUUCUUCUCUG